AAAAUGCUAGAAUAUUAAGAAAAUACUUCAAAUAUCAUUCAUAUGGUUUCGCUCUCUUUCACUUUGAUACUCUAUGGUUUAAAGUGUAUUAAUUGAGUAUCUUGUGGUUUCGCAUUUUCUCACUUUAAUACCCCGUAGUUUAAAGUGCAUCAAUUUAGUACCCUGUGGUUUCAUUUUUCUCUUUUCGUCGGCUGCUCUGUUAAUAUUUCGUUAAAUUAUAUACAAAAAAUUUCAGAUACCCUACCUAGUUUUAUCGAAUAUUUACUCUAGUACCUUUUAGUUUUAACUUUGUCAUUGAUUUUUUUUCCUCCGUUAAUAUUUCGUUAAAUUAUAUACAAAAAAAACUUCAUAUACCCUAUCUAAGUUUAUCGAAUAUUCAUUUUAAUACUCUUUAAUUUUAACUUUAUCACUGAUUUAACGAAAAGAAUUAGUGAAAUGAAUAAUAAAAAGAGAAAAAUAAAACCACAGGGUGCUAAAGUGAGAAAGUGCAAAAUUAUAGGGACUAACUUGAUACACUUUAAAUCACAGGAUACUAAAAUAAAAAAGUGUAAAACCACAAGAACUGUAUUUGAAGUUUACCCAAAUAUUAAUGACCGUCCCAGUAGUACUAUUUCAUGAGUACACAAAAAAUUCCCUUUUUAAUAGAAGAAUUUUAUAGAUCAUACUUAAGUCCUUCUCCAAAUUAUUUUUUUUAAAAAAAAGGCCAACUUUUUGAAUUUAUCAGAAUCCUAUAAGGAGCUUAAUUCCCAUCGUAAUUUUCGCUCAUUUGCACUAUUAUUCUGAUAAUAUUAUAAAAACAAAUGAAAUGGAUGAUUAUAUCAUAUUCUUGAAAUUUGCGGUGGAGCUGCACAAAGUGCGAACUCCAGUAAUUCUCNAGGAGUAAAAAGAUAUCCGAGAAUUUUAUUUCCAUUCAUCCUAUUACUAAGAAUGUAGUAUUUCGAUGUUUGAUUCGUACGGUCAUAUUAUUUAGUCAUAUUAUUUAAGAUUACGAAAAAUAUACAAUUUAUUUAUUUAUUUAAUCUUAAAUAAUACUAUAAAAAAUUUCAACAUCUUUUUAGAAAAAAGAGAGAAUAUAUAAGUUAGAAAGAGAAAGCAUAAUUAAAGAAAUAGAAAGAGAAAUAGAGUACAGGGUAGAAAGAAUGAGAGGGUUGAGAUUUUAGAAAAAGAGUGGAAAAAAUAGCUUAAUUUAGAGAAAGAAAAAAAGUUGAAGUUUUUUUAAAAAAAGAUAAGUUUAGAGAGAGAUAUGAGGUUAGAGUGUAAAGAAAAAUAAUACCAACUAGCCGAUGGGUGGAAAGAAAAAAAGAGAUUAGACAUAUUAUAAUUACUCCAAUCCAUUAAUAUAAGGAUACCCACCCUCCCUCAAAAGAAUAAGAUUAGUACUUUGGAAUGCAUCUCAUUCCCUAGUAAAUCUAGUAUUACCAACUAGAUUACUUAGUCGUUUAGCCAAACACCGGCAUAUUUUUUUAUUCCUAUUGGAUUACUAGGAAUCUUAAAAAGAUAGCGCGAACCAAACGCACCCUAAAAGUAAAAGACUAAUGCUAUGUAUCAACUAGUUAUCUUAAACAACAGGCAUGAUACACUUUAAGAUUUUCUGACGUUUAUUUAAUGUUCGAUAUUUUUUUCACUUUCUAUUAUCAUAUAUUAUGAUUCUCAGUCUCAUUUACUCUUAGAUAAUACAAAUAAUCUAAGGCUAAAUUAUACAUUCAUUUUUUUAUUUUUUUUUCCGACUUUAAAAAAUCUAUAUUUUAUCCUUUUAAAAUUUUAAAAAUAUUUUAAGAUGGUACAAUCUUAAUGGAGAGAGCAAAAUAAUCAAAUUGACGUUACUUUUCUAUAAAAUAAAAAUAAUUUUUUAAUAUAUUUUUAUUAUUUUAAAGAAUAUUUUAGAAAAAACGAUAAGAAAUGGACGGAACAAUAAUAAAAUCCUAACGGAACAGUUUAAAUAUAAUAAUUUAAAAUAUUGACAGGGUAAAAUGUAGAUUUUGAAAGUCACGAGUAAGAGUGAAAGUAUUUACUUUUCUCCAAUUUUGGUUGCUUUAGUUAACCCAAUGGCAUUUUUGUAAAAUAGAGCAACUCCAAGCCCUCUUCUGCCACCCUUCACAAAAUCUCCCCCACUCCGCACUUUUCCCUUUACUCUUUUUUUUUCUUUCUUUUUCCUACAACUCAACACCCAUAAAUUAAAACCAAAAGAAAACAAACUCCAAAAUCCCUUCACCACAGAUCCCAAGAAGAGAAAGAAAAGAAAAGAAAAGAAUGGAGCAGAGAAGCACCUGCAGGAGAGCUAAGCUUCCAUUCUCAGAAAACAGCUUCAGCUUCNCAGUAUGGCAUUUAAGUGUUCCCUAUAUAUUUCUAUUCUUUUCUACAAGGAUUUCCUAUUUAUGGAGAUUAUAAUAUGAUUACGUGCCGUAUAAAUGAGAAACUUUUCUUUUCCUCAUAAAAUCCUAUUUAUGGAGAUUAUAAUAUGAUUACGUGCCGUAUAAAUGAGAAACUUUUCGUUUCCUCAUUGGAAGAUUUCAACUUAGAUGAUGUAUUGUUACAUUUAUUUUGCCACAUUCUUGACAAGGUCUAUCCUAAUACAAUCUCUUGAUGAGAGGAUAUCUUUUAAGGUGCGUUUGGUUCGCACUAUGAAAGAUUACUAGGAGUAAAAAGAUAUCUAAGAAUCUUAUUCAUAUUGAUCCUAUUACUAAGAAUAGUAUUUCGGUGUUUGGUCGUACGGUCAUAUUAUUUAGUCAUAUUAUUUAAGAUUACGAAAAAUAUACAAUCAAUUAAUUAAUUAAUUUAAUUAAUUUUAAAUAAUACUAUAAAAAANNNNNNNNNNNNNNNNNNNNNNNNNNNNNNNNNNNNNNNNNNNNNNNNNNNNNNNNNNNNNNNNNCUCCGCACUUUUCCCUUUACUCUUUUUUUUUCUUUUUUUUUUUUUUUUUUUUUUUUCUCCUACAACUCAACACCCAUAAAUUAAAACCAAAAGAAAACAAACUCCAAAAUCCCUUCACCACAGAUCCCAAGAAGAGAAAGAAAAGAAAAGAAAAGAAUGGAGCAGAGAAGCACCUGCAGGAGAACUAAGCUUCCAUUCUCAGAAAACAGCUUCAGCUUCUGCUUCUGCUUCUGCUUCUGCCUCACAAUCAUUCUCUCUCCUCAGUGCACCCAUGCAUACAAAAACUACACAGUGGGGGACUCAUUGGGGUGGUAUGAUAACUUGAUGGAGCCCAAAGUGGAUUACCAGAAAUGGGCUUCUGGAAAGAUCUUCAGCCUUGGAGAUUUCCUCAGUAUGUUUCUAAAACCCCCUCAAAUUUAGGGCACAAAAAAAAACAAAAAAAGUCAUGAUUCAUAGCUAAAUAUGGUUGGUGUUUGUUGUUUCUUAAUCAGGAGUAUGGUUUAUUUAUAGUUACUUAAUUCGUGAAUUAUUUGCGAAUUAUUUAAAAUCUGAAUAAAAUAGUCCGUAUGCGAUUUAUUUUCAAAAAUCGGAAUAAAACGCGAAUUUUUGGGGUUAGAUUUAUUAUUCGUGAAUAAUUCACGUAUGCCAAUCUAUUCGGCCAAAAAAACACCCAAAAUUUUUAUAUAAAAUCUCUUGCCGAAUUAUUUAUGAAUUAUGGAAAAAUUUUAUGAACAUUCGGAAUAUAUGGAUCAUGAAAAAGGUGAAUAUAGAGAUAACAAUAUAAUUUGUUAUUAUUUUUUUUACUUAAUCUACUUUAUUUUGUAGAUUUCUAUUCUUAUAUUCUUAAGAAUUUAUAACUAUAUAUGCUAGUAGCAUAAAUCUAGAGAAAAGGGCUUAGUCUAAUAAUGAAUUUUGAUCCCAAAUUUUUCAUUUGGUGAACGUAUAUUUUUUUGUAUAAAUUGCGUACCCGAAUAAUUGGUGAAUCCAUUUUUUAAGCAGUAUUUUUCAACAAAUUUAAAAAUUGAGAUACGAAUUUUAUUCGAAUCUUUGGCGAAUUCGAAUUAACUAACUAUGGUUUAUUACAUUAGGAUUGCUAUUUUGAUGGUAGUAUAGGAGGUUCACUUUUGCAUCCUUUGUUAGGUUCAUUUUAGGAAAUUAUUCUAUUCUUCAUGAUCAUGUAGAAUUUUGAACUUUUUAGAACAAAAAAUAGUUGGAGUUGGGCAAAUAUUUUUCUCUGUUUAUUUGGAAAAACUUAUUUGUUGGGAAUUUUCUUUCUCAGUGCUUUUCUCACUUGUUUAUGAAUACUAUUUCCCUAAUAAAAUGUCAUUUAUUACCAACCUAAAAAGGAUCACUUGGAGUAAAAGAAAAGUAUAUACCUCUUUUAAAUAUAUAUACAUAUAAAGUAUAGUGGGACUAAAAUUUUUUAACCGGGUUAUCAUAUUUUGGACAAUAACAAGACCUAAAAAAUUAAGAGAGUUGAGCAAGCUUAUGGGUACUAGAGUAGUUUUAUGCGUGGUUCCAGCGGAAGCCGAGCAUCGCAUGAUCAUAUUAUCUAAAUAGCAGUUUUAUUAAAUAAGAUAUUCAUGCAUUCAAACAGAGUCUUUAACGUAGUACUUUCACAGUCUUCAACACGGACAAGAACCACUCGGUGGUGCAGACGUACAACGCGACGACGUACAAGCUCUGCGACUACAACGACGCGUCGGACGGCGACACGGUGGAGUGGUCGGCCGGCGAGCCGGAGUUCAGCAAGGCCGCGGUCACGGUGGCGGUCCCCCUCCUCAAGGAAGGCCCCACGUACUUCUUUUCGGGGGACUACGACGGCGAGCAGUGCGAGAACGGCCAGCAGCUCGCGAUCAACGUCACGCACGGCCAGGGCCUGCCAGACAGCCUCAAGAACCCGUCCGACCAGUCGUCACCGGCCCCCGCCAGUCCUGACGACGAGAAAAGCGUUCCCGACACGGUGGUUCCGUCGAACUUCGACCAUCCGACGACAACGACGAACGACACCGCCGUCGAGCCGACGUCGGAUGCAGGGACCGUAGCCCGGAAGUUCUGUAGACUGAGUUUGGGUUCAGCUGUGCUUGUUUCUGUUCUGUGCUUUAGCAUUUGAGUGUGACUCAAUUCUCUGUUUCUGCUGUGUUCGUGUGUUGCUUUUAUGAUUUAUUUAUUUAUUUAUUUGUCAGAAUAGUUGUAUUCUGCAUAUACUGUCACUAUGGAGCAAUAGCAAUAAGUUUAUUGUUUUGUCUCAGCAAAAUCUGCUUCUUUUUCAGCAUCAGAAUAAAUAUUUGCUCUGUCAACAGCACAUUGGUUCAUUUUCAGUUUGUAACUAAAAUUGGAGAGAUUAUAUGAUUUUUGUGUUUUAAGAAAAGAACAAUUAUAGGACAUACUUAACAAGCGUGAUCGAUCGAUUGAGAUCGACGGAUCUCCUAAUCUACCAAUUGACCGACUUUCAGUAGUAAAUUGAACCGAACCGUCGUAUCAACACGACCAACUUACGGCAAUUCAUCGCAUCUGGAGUCGCUGUCGAGGUGUGGUUUACUCUUAUAUGCUUUCAGAAGUGAAGAGCGAACUAGCAGGUGGUUUGAAAUGUGAGAAGUUCGGAGGCGACUAAAUUGAUUCGAACCAGAGUGGCGAAAUCUACGAACACUUGUUGAGAGGAUAUAAACAUGACUCCAUAAUAAAAUAUAUCAUCAGAGAAAAAGAUGAACAUGGACAUAGAAGCAUACAAGAAAAACAGAAGGCCUUUUUAUCAGGCACUAAAAUUUGUAGCAAUCAAUUCACUCGAAGAAGUUCAGCUGAUAAACUAAAGCUGACUAUAUGUCAGUACAGUAAUGUGUCGAAGAUUCGGGGAUCAUAAAAGGGAAAAGAAUAACAAAACAGAAGUAGAAUACAAGUUCAUUUUACAAGAUAUACCAAAUUUCAGAGAUCUGCAGCUUCUGAAUGUAGUAGAAACCAUGAGACUGCAACUUUGUUUUAUAUAUAUAUGUUUUUUUCCUUUCAUUUUCUGCUUCCAGUUCAGAAAAACAUCUAGGCCAAACUUGUUCUAAUUAUCUCUGUUCUCCAGUUAGAAAAUGUACCACUAAACUGAACAUUGAAGAAGCAAUUCAAAAACGUACAAAAUUUAUCCGAACUAUGGGCCAUUUCGAAUCGGCUACUGAACCAUUCAAAAUUUUGAAUUUACUACCCAAUCUUUCAAUGUGUUUGAUUUUAGUCGGUCAACGGCACUUUGGCUUCAAAAUUUGAACUCAUUCCUUUAAUAAAUUUAUAAUUGUGAGAAUUGUAUUAGUCAUACUAAUUAAAUCUAUAAAUAUAAAUAACGCAUUGAAAUUUUAAAAUCGAAGUGUUAUUGGCUGUCUCAAAUCAAACAAAUAAAAAAAUUGGGUAGUAAAAUCAAGAUUUUGAAAGGUUCGGUAGUCGAUUCAAAAUGGUCCAUUUUUCAUGUUAGUUGUAUACGUUUUUACCUAAAAAAUAUGAAGUAAAUGGUGUACCAUAUAAUAAAAGAUUCUGCUUAUCUGAGUAUUGAAUUUGAAUAUCUAAUUUAGACAAAUGAGUAACAUGUUAGCAAGAAAAAGCUACAUAUUCAUUAAUUCAUUCGAGGUAAAUGGUGUACCAUAUAAUAAAAGAUUCUACUUAUCUGAGUAUUGAAUUUGAAUAUCUAAUUUAGACAAAUGAGUAACAUGUUAGCAAGAAAAAGCUACAUAUUCACUAAUUCAUUCGAGGUAAUAUAUAUAUAUAUAUAUAUAUAUAUAUAUAGAGUCCGGCUACUAUACUAUUAUGAGUAUGAUGGCCCUCGUACUCAUAAGUUGUUUUUGAUGAUAGAGCUUCCUAAUCGACGAUCCACACCAUUAAACAUUAUCUAGCUCAUUUAAAACAUCUAGAAAUCAAAUUUUAUAAUUUUUUGAUAUCAUUUACCUUACGAUCAAAAGGUCACAAAAUUAAAAAUUUUUAACGGCCGGUAUGGGAUAUUUGCUAGUUUAACGGUGUAAAAGAAUCGAAAUCGGUUGAAUUUUUAUAGAGAAAUUUUAUUCACUACAUAGAUAAGAUCAAUACUCCGAUCUAAAUGUGAAGGAUCCGAUCAUACCAUUUUUAAUAUGUCGUUCGAUUUUGAUCGUUCAUUUAUACCCGCUUGAUGGACUUAUUAUGAUUUGAAAAAUUACGAAAUUUUUUUCUAAAAGUUUGAAAUAUUCUAGAUCAUAUUUAACGUGAGUGAUCGUCGAUUCGAAAGUUCCAUUAUUGAAAAUAACUUAUGAGUACGAAGGACCCAAUACUCAUAAGAGUAUAGCAGCCCUACUAUAUACAUAUAGUAAUAUAUAUAUAGAGAGAGAGAGAGAGAGAGAGAGAGAGAGAGAGAGAGGAACUACGGCUGAAAUACUAUAAAUAGCACAAGCUAUUGAUACUAUUAGAUUUCCGGUCAUUGGAUAAAAAUAUACGGCUAUGAUAUGUGGAUCCCUAGGGUUGAGUUAGUUAUUAGUUAAAUAGUAAAUAUACAGGUAAAAAAUUAAUUAAGAGUUAAAUCUAACGGCGGAAACUCGUUAGCACAACGCGCUUGGUGCUAUCAAUAGUAUUCCAGCCGGACUUAUAUAUUAAUAUAUAUAUAUAUUAUAUAUAUAUAUAUUAAUAUUAUAUAUUAUAUAUAGAAUUAGGCUGAAUACUAUUAAUAGUAAAACCUCCUUUUGCUAUCAAGUUUUUAACCCUGUGCAUGAAAAUUGUAGGGUCAGGACGAUAUUAGUCGGUUAGAGUUGAGUGGUCCCCUAGGGUUUAGUGGUCCCCAUUGGUUAUAAUAUUUAAUCCAAUGGUUAGAAAUAAUGAAAGAGUUGAUCCAAGGCUAAAAAACUCGGUAGCAACAAUUAGGAAUUUUACUACUAAUAGUAGCCAGUCCAACUCUAUAUAUAUAAUAUAUAUAUACAUGAUGAAGCUGCUAUGCUUCUGGAAGCACGGAGCUUCGUGCUUCCAAGUCGUUUUUCAUGUUGCGACUUUCGAAUCGUCGAUUGGCUCCGUUAAACUGAUCUAGAGUAUUUGAAGUACUAGAAAAUAAAUUAUGCGAUUUUUCGAUAUUAUUUGCCUUAGUGAACGAAAGGGCUCAAAAUCAACGGGCUGAUAAUAAAAAUUUUACAAAAUGUGAUAAUAUGACAUUAAAAUUUUAGAUCAAAGAUAUUGAUUUGUUUUAUAUAGUAUAAAAAUUUCUAUCAAAAUUUCAAGUGAUUUGGAUAUUUCUACACAUUAAACUUGCAACGGCUCACUACGGGCCAUUAAAAUUAGUUGAUUUUGAGCCCCUUCGAUCACUAGGCAAAUGAUAUCGAAAAAUCAAAAAUUUUUUCUAGGUACUUCAAAUACUCUAGAUAAGUUUAACGAAGCGAUUGACGAUUUGAAAAUCGCAACAUGGAAAACGACCUGGAAGCACAGAAGGCUCCAUACUUCCAAAAGCAUACUAGCCUCACACACACACACACACACCACACACACACACAUAUAUAUAUAUAUAUAUUAUAUAUAUAUAUAUAUUAUAUAUAUAUAUAUAUAUAUAUAUUAUAUAUAUAUAAUAUAUAUAUAUAUUAUAUGGCUGGAAUAUUAUGAUAGCAAAAGUUUUUUUUGCUAUCAAGUUUUGUAGGGUUGGAUAAUAUUAGUCCCUUAGAUUGAGUGGCCCACUAAGUUAUAAUAAUUUAAUCAAAUGAUUAAAAAAUGAAAGGAAUUGAUCCAAAGCUAAAAACUUGAUAGCAAAAAGGCUUUUGCUAUCAAUGUAUUCUAGCCCAGAAUACUAUUGAUAGCAAAAGACUCUCUUUGCUAUCAAAUUUUUAGCCUUUGGAUCAUUUAUUUCCUCAUUCUAAUUCAUUGGAUUAAAAUAUUAUAACCUAGUGGACCACUCAACUCUAAAUGACUAAUAUCAUCCUAACCUUAAAUUUUUCAUCAAAAGCUAAAAACUGAUCACAAAAAAGGCUCUUUUGCUAUAAUAAUAUUCCAGCCCAACUCUCCACUCUCUCUCUCUCUCUUUAUAUAUAUUUAUAUAUAUAUAUAGUCGGCUAUGCUGCUUGUAAAGCACCAAUCACUUUGUGCUUGUAGGUUUUAACCGUUAUAGAUCAGUAUCGUUGAUAUUUACAUCCGUGUAAAUUAUACUAUUCAACCAUCCCCACUCAACCUCUAGGGGGCCCAUAUCAUCCUAACACACUAAUUUUUUAAUCUAAGAGCUAAAAACUUACAAGCACCAAUGUCUUGAUACUUUAAAGCAUUAGAAGCCAGUCUAAUUAUUAUAAUAUAAUAUAUAUAUAUAUAAUAUAUAUAUAUAUAUAUAUAUAUAUAUAUACUAUAUCAUACAUAUAUAUAUUCUAAACAAGCAAAAUCAGGAAGGAAAAAAACUAAUAAAUGAAAACAUUGUUGCUCUUAUCGGGAAGCACGACACCGGCACUGCUCUCGGAGGGAGGGAUGAUCAUGUCCGCCAGCAACCGCUCCGAGUCCGUGUCGUGCCGGGCCGGAGUGCAGGUCAGCUGUGUGUGGGCCCUGGCCCGGCUACAGGCUGUAGGCCGCGCUGCUCUGCCUGGCCAGAUGGCCUGCCUUCCAUUUCUUUGCCGACGUUUGCAUUUCAAAAAAGAUAAACUUCAAUUUGCCCUCCAUGAUAAAGUGUGUUUCUGACUUUGUUUUCUCAUUGUUCGAAAAGUUUUUUUUUUUUUUAGAGAAAGGUAGUACGCUACCUGCUUCAUUCAAUAGGAUAAGUGAACUAAGCUUACAAGGUGGAAGCAGCUAAGGCUUCCUUGGCAAAAAGCGAACUCGGAGAACAGAGAAACAAAACAAAAGUGGCGAAAGAAGGAAGGAAGAAGUUAUAAAAAAGAAAGUGGGGAAGAGGAAAUUGGUUACAUGAGUGAGCUCCAGUCACUAAACAGGGUUGAGGCUCUGUCCAAAGCUCUCUCGACGUUGGGGAGGCUAGAACGGAAAGUUGUGCUUAACCAUCACAUGGUACAGUGUAUUUUGACCUUUGUUAGUUAAUUCGCGAAUUAUUCGUGAAUUAUUGAAAAUCCGAAUUAAACGGUCCGUUUACGAAUUUUUUCCAAAAAAAAAAAAUUAUUCGCGAAUUUUUGAACCAACCAAAUAAUUCGCGAAUUAUUCCCGAAUUAUUGAAAAUCUAAAUAAAAACUUAUAAUUUUUAUGUUUAAAUAUAUAUUAUCUUAUUUUUAUAUCUUAUAUUUUAUAUUUUAUAUCGAAUCCCUUUUUUAAGCCGAAUUUUUCAACGAAUUUAAAAAUUAGAAAACGAGUUUUAUGUGAAUUAUAUCCAUACUGAAUUUUUGCCGAAUCCGAAUUAACUAAUUAUGAUUUUGACCGUAUCAUCUCGUGUUCAAAAAAUUAUACUUAAUUAUCCUGUAAUUUUACUUUUUGAUUUACUAUAAGGAUCUACUAUUAAAUAGGAUAGUACCCUAUUUGAUGAUAAAUAUUUUCGUUGAAAUAAAAAUACAAUUAUAGAAUAAUUAAGUGCAACUUUUUGAACUUCGGAAUAGCUAAGUGACAAUGGGCUAUACCGCACUGCCGCACAAGGGGCGAAUUGAAGUUUACACUUUCAAAAAAAAUAGAAGUUUUAAAGUCUAGAAUCUCGCAUAAUAUCUCACUAUAGAUAUUUGGUGGAUUUUAAAAUAAAGAGGCUACAAGCAGCUUUCGAGAAAGCAAAGAGGAACGCCAUAAGGUUGUAUUGAUUGAUCGGUAUUCAAGAAUGCAAAGUAAAGAGAACAGAACGAAAGUAAACUGUGAACAGAAAAUAAAGAGUAUUAAAAAGUGUCCUCAAAAUUGGAGAGAUAUGUAGAUGCGGAUACAGGGCUCUAUUAAUUCCAAGUGAGAUUUCGAUAAAAAUAUGACCUAGUGAUCCAGAUUAAAUAAGAAAAAUAGUAGUCCAAAAGUACAUAAACCAAUUGACGGGAGAACCACACGACCACAAACAAUUUCAAGACACUAAAGAGCCAGGAGUCACGCAGAGAGACCAACAGGACGUUAUGAAGCUUCUACUGGAAGAAUACUAUAAUGAGUGACAUGGAAAAAGAUAGACAUGCAAAGUUUACCUCGAUUCACCAAUCCCGAAGAAUUGGUUCACGACAGAAAAAGGACAGCGAUAGAGGAUAGAGGAUAGCGAUAAGAAGCAAAAAAGAGAGGAGGAGGAGGACGUCCCUUCCCCGACUAGUCGUGGUUGUCUGUAAAAAAAAAAAAAAAAAAAAAAAAAAANNNNCUCGUGUUCGGCUAGUUUAAUAAACGAGCCGAACACGAGCCGACCCCAACUCGUUGGUGUUCGGCUCGUUUACACCCCUAGCUAUACCGCACAAGGGGGCGAAUUGAAGUUUACACUUUCAAAAAAAAUAGAAGUUUUAAAGUCUAGAAUCUCGCAUAAUAUCUCACUAUAGAUAUUUGGUGGAUUUUAAAAUAAAGAGGCUACAAGCAGCUUUCGAGAAAGCAAAGAGGAACACCAUAAGGUCGUAUUGAUUGAUCGGUAUUCAAGAGUGCAAAGUAAAGAGAACAGAACGAAAGUAAACUGUGAACAGAAAAUAAAGAGUAUUAAAAAGUGUCCUCAAAAUUGGAGAGAUAUGUAGAUGCGGAUGCAAGGGCUCUAUUAAUCCCAAGUGAGAUUUCGAUAGAAAUAUGACCUAGUGAUCCAGAUUAAAUAAGAAAAAUAGUAGUCCAAAAGUACAGAAACCAAUUGACGGGAGAACCACACGACCACAAACAAUUUCAAGACACUAAAGAGCCAUGAGUCACGCAGAGAGACCAACAGGACGUUAUGAAGCUUCUACUGGAAGAAUACUAUAACGAGUGGCAUGGAAAAAGAUAGACAUGCAGAGUUUACCUCGAUUCACCAGUCCCGAAGAAUUGGUUCACGACAGAAAAAGGACAGCGACAGAGGAUAGAGGAUAGCGAUAAGAAGCAAAAAAGAGAGGAGGAGGAGGACGUCUCUUCCCCGACUAGUCGUGGUUGUCUCUUAAAAAAAAAAAAAAAAAAAAAGGCAGGAGAGGGAAGAGAAGAGGAGGUGGAAGGUUCAAAAGGGAGAAAAAGGAAAGGUGGUUGGAGAGGGAAAAAUUGUUCUACUUAAGAAAAGGAGUUGAUUGCAUAAACCAUCCCUAACGUUUAUAUAUCUUCUUUAUUUAGUUCCUACUCUUUUAUUUUUUUACACUUGGACCCUUAAUUUUAAGAAUUAAUUAUACUAUUAGCCUCUAAUACUUUUCAUAAUUUUCACUUAGUCCCUAACUUUUUCUCCCAUAAGCAUACGCAUUGUAUCAAAUUUAAUCUCAUCAUCCCCGAUAUCUUUCCAUUUGCCUACAAUCAUCUUGACCUUACAUAUUAUACCUACUAUUUUUUUUUUAAGCAUCCGGUAUUCUUAACGUCAAGCCGGAGUACUGUCAAACUCUUUGAGAAAUAAAAAAUAAUUAGUGCUGAAAUUAACCGGAGGUUUCAGGACCAUAAUUGUUAUUUAUAUGAGUAGGCAAGGUUUUAUCGAAGUUGACUAGGCCUAUAAAAAGUUAGGGAUCUAAUAGCAAAGCAAAAAAUUAAGCCCUAAUAUCCCCGUCAACCUAACCAGGCAAUGUAAGGUCCACUUCACACUUCGUGCUGAUGAAACGGCUCUGAUAUCAAAUGUAAUGGCUUGGUACACUAACAAUAAUAACUCGUUGGAUUCAAAUCACUAGCCCAAAAUACUUAUACCCGAUUAUUAUCAUUAGGAUCCAUUGUCUCUUAUUAUUUUCACUCACAAUCCUGUUCUCAUUCAAUGUGGGAUUAUUGAGGUGUCACACAAACACUUUACAAAGUUGAGAGGAAAAAUAAUCUAAAUAACUUGUCUAUUUUAAUUAAUCACAGACUAAUAUCAAUUAGUUUGUCGCUAAAAUUGCCAAUCAUCUCAGUUUUAAAAAGAGAAAAUUAAAGAUUGAAAAUUUUAGCUAAUAAUUGGUCCUAUAUAUAUAUAUAUAUAUAAUCCUACUACUACAUUAUCAAUAGCACCAAACACUUGUUACUAUUAAUUUUUUUCUCAUUAGAUCUAUCAUUUUGACCAUUUUCAUCCGUUAGAUCAUAUUGUUUAACUAACCACCUACUCAACCCUAGGAGAUCACUAUCAUCCUAACCGCAUUUCCUUUCAUCCAAGGGAUGAAAACCUAAUAGUAUAAUAGUCUAAUUCAUAUAUAUAUAUAUAUAUGAGUAGGCUGGUAUGCUUUUGGAAGCACGGAGCCCUCUGUGCUUCCAAAUUGUUUUCGAUAUUCGGACUUUCGAAUCGACGAUGGGCUCGUUAGAGUUGAUCUACAGUAUUUGAAGUAUCUAGAAAAUAAAUUUUGUGAUUUUUCGAUAUCAUUUGCCUAGUGAUCGAAGGGCUCAAAAUCAACAAUUUUAACGGCCGUGGUGAGCCGUUUGCAAGUUUAACAGUGUAGAAAUAUCCAAAUCAUAUAAAAUUUGAUAGAAAAUUCUUUAUACCGUAUAACAAGCAUCAAUAACUUUGAUCGAAAAUUUUAAUGUUAUAUCAUCAUAUUUUGUAAGAUUUUUGUUUUCAGCCGUUGAUUUGAGCACUUUGAUCACUAGGCAAAUGAUAUCGAAAAUCGCAAAAUUAUUUUCUAAGGUACUUCAAAUACUCUAGAUCAAGUCUAACGGGACCAAUCAUCGAUUCGAAAGUCCGAACAUCGAAAACAACUUGAAAGCACGAAGCGCUCCGUGCUUCCAAAAAUAUACCAGACGCACUCACUUAUAUAUAUAUAUAUAUAUAUAUAUAUAUAUAUAUAUAUAUAUUAGGAGCACGAAGGCCUCCAUGUUCUUAAGCCAUUUUCGAUAAUGCAGCUUCCAAAUCGAUAAUCGGUUCUAUUAAAUUUGAUUUAGUGUAUUUGAAGUAUUUAGAAAAUAAAUUUUGUAAUUUUUCGAUAUCAUUGACCUAGCGAUCGAAAGAGUUUAAAAUCAACGCCUGAAAAUAAAAAUCUCAUGAAAAGUGGAGAUAUAGUAUUAAAAUUUUUCAUCAGAGAUAUUGAUCUUACAGUAAAUAGUAUAAAAAAUUUUCUAUCAAAUUUUUUUUUGAUUUGAAUACUUUUACACCGUUAAACUUGCAAACGAUAUAUACUAACCAUUAAAAAUUAUUGAUUUUGAAUUCUUUCGAUGAUAGAGUAGGUCUUGUGUGCUAUUAGGAGUACGGAGGCCUCCAUGCUCUUAAGCCAUUUUCAAUGAUGGAGCUUUCGAAUCGACAAUCAGUUCCGUUAGACUUAAUCUAGCAUAUUUGAAAUAUCUAGAAAAUAAAUUUUAUGGUUUUUUAAUAUUAUUUACCUAGAGAUCGAAAUGGUUUAAAAUCAACGGCUUAAAAUAAAAUUCUCACAAAAAGUGGUAAUAUAAUACUAAAAUUUUUAAUAGAAGAUAUUUAUUUUCCAGUAAAUAGUAUAAAAAAUUUUCUAUCCAAAUUUCAUCUGAUUUGAAUACUUCUACAUUAUUAAACUUGCAAAUAAUAAAUAUCAAUUAUUAAAAAUUGUUGAUUUUGAACCCUUUCGAUUGCUGGGUAAAUGAUAGCGAAAGAUCGUAAAAUUUAUUUUUUUAAAUAUUUCAAAUAUGUUAGAUCAAGUCUAAAAGAGCCGAUCAUCGAUUCGAAAACUGCAUUAUCGAAAACGGCUUAAGGCCACAGAGGUCUCCGUGCUCCUAGUAGCACACAAGUCCUACUAUAUAUAGUAUAAUUUAACUUUUUAAUUACUUAGUAAAUUAUUUUAGUUCGAUAACUAGUAAAAAAAAUAAUUAGAUUAAUAGAAAUAUUAAUGAUUGAUCAAUAUAAAUAUUAGUUUAUGGAUAAAAAUAUUAAAUUAGUAAUAAUUUAUUAGCUAAUUAAUAGUAAAUAAUAAAUAAAUUUAUUACUUUAUUAUUUAAGCAAUAAAUGAUAAUUUAAAUAUAUUAAUUAGAUUAAUUAACAAUUUAAUUUCAUAAUUAAAAUUAAAUUUAGACUUUAAUUAAUUAUGUUUUUACUUGGAAACAAGCUUGUUCCAGAAAAAAUGGUGGAACAGUAGUUCCAGUUCUAUACCGGAUUAUAUUAAUUUAUUCCAGAGAUUCGAAAAUUACUAUUCUCUGAUAUCAAACACAGCGUUUGGGAGCAAAAACUUAUUUUCCAACCAAACGCACCCUUUGUGUUUAGCUGGAUUAGCAGUAGAAUAUUUAUAUUUUUAUAUUAUUUUUUUUGAGUGAUUAUUAAUUAAAUAAAUUUUUAAAAAAUAAUUUAACAAUUAAAUUAAUUUAAAUAAAAAUAAUUUAAGUUGCUAUAUAUGCGACACAAAUAUUAUAAGAGUUUAUUAAUAAUUAAAUUAUUUUAUAAAAGCAUAUGUGAGAAAGAUUAGAGAAAAAAAGCUAUUAAAAUAAUUUAAAUAAACUAAUAAAAUAAUAGAAAAAUGGAAUAGUAGAGAAGGUAUUGCUCUGUACACCGGUAUGUCUAAAUACAUCUUACAAAUCAUAUUCAUAAAAGUUUGUUAUAAAAAUUUAAACUUUAUAAAUUUUUAUAUGUAGAUCUUUAUUUGGUAUAAAUCCCAUCUAUCGAUCGAAUUAGAUUUUAAUUUUAUAAUAUUAGUUUUUAAAAAAGUUGUUUCAAUACAUUAAAUAUACGAAUAGACCUAGGUGCAAGUAAUAAUUUAAAAUUUGAAUGGUGGAGGAGAAGUUUCUUGUGUCGCGUUUGUAAAUAAAUCUUGUACAUUACAUUUCUAAACUUUUAUUAUAAAAAUUUAAAUUCUCUAGUUUUUUAUACACGAACUUUUUAUAUGGUUUAGUAGCGUCUAUUAGAGUAAACACUAAUUUUAUAAUAUUAAUUAUUAAAAAAAUAGGUUCAGAGAUUGUAAUUUAUUAGUAGACUGAGUGUGGUAAAUUUUUUUUUUUUUUAUUAUUGUUGAAGUACAGGAUUGGGGGACACGUGGCUCUCCCAAUUCUCCCAACUAGCUCUUCUUUAAUGUCAUGUAAUAAUGUAAUAAUAAAAAAUAAAUAACAAUUUCUACUUCAAAAAUCACUUCUAUAUGUUUGAAGGUUCUUUAUUGGCUAAAAUAUAAAAAAAUUCCUUACAAAUAUUUAAUUUUGCAUUUUAUUCCUCUCUCUUUUAGAAAUCUUUAUUUUGCCUCUUUAAAAUUUAAAAUUGUAGCACUUAAUCCAACACUAUUAUUAUUCCUUUAAUAUUUUGUACAUAAAUUGUAGGAUAAAUUUCAAAUAUCACUUUAGUACCUUAUGGUUUAAAGUGUAUCAAUUUAGUACCCUAUGGUUUCUUUUUUUUUUCGUCAAUCUCUCCGUUAACUUUUUGUCCAAUCAUAUAAAAAAAACUUCAGAUAUCUCACCUAUAGUUUAUCGAAUAUUCACUUUAGUAUAAUUUAGUUUUAACUUUAUUACUGAUUUAACGAAAAAUAUUAGUAGAGAAAAUAAUAAAAAAGAGAAAAAUAAAAUCACAGGGUACGAAAGUGAUACAUUUUAAACCGCAGGGUACUAAAGUGAGAAAAUGUGAGACCAUAGAAAUGGUAUUUAAAGUUUUUCCUAAAUUGCAUAAAAUAACUGAGUAACUCACUAAAAUAUUUAUUAUACUAUUAGAAAGAUCGCAAUACAUAAGAAUUUUUUAUUUUCACUCAAAUUAGAUAACUGCACGAAAGAAAUCUUUCAUUUUUAACUAAUUAACUUUUUUUUUUCCGACAUUUCUAAGAUAAAAUGAGUACAUAAGUGAGCAAUGCUACAUAUACAUUCUAUUUGAGGUGUAUAUCCUACAUCUCAUUCAUCCAAUGGAUAAUGUGUUUUCACCGAUCAUUUGAUGUGACUAAUAGUUAAGACCCUACUUAUUAGAUGAGUGAGGUGUAAUUUGUACACCCCGGAUGCGGUGUAAAAAUUGAUAUUUACAAAGGGAUUUUCUACAUUUUAACCUUCUUUAUUUUUAACACAUUAAAUCAGCUCUUUUUUUUUAAUUUAUUUUUCAUCAAAUAGGAAUUGAUAUAAUCUGUCAAAUGCAGUAGUACUAGGAGUUAUUGCAAAUUCAGGUGUGAAUUGAAGCAAUCAUCCAAUCUCAGGCUCUUCUCUGUUUCCAUCUCUGCAGCAGGACACAAUUGACAGCCUGCAUUUACUGCAUCAGGUUUUUGGUCAAGUUUAUGUUCUGUACCCCCAAAACAAUCUCCAAAAUAUAUUUGAAUUCCACAUUUUAUGAGCUGCAGAAUAAAACAUAAUCUGAGUGCUUAUUUGAUCUGAAGAAACUAUUAACUUCUAUGUAAGCAGAUAAUAGGAUAAUGUCAUCUAUAGUUGUCAAUGUUUAUAGAGUGCAAAGAGCGCUAGGCACACUUCUGAGUGUAGAAUCUGAACGGUAAAAAUUAUGUUAUUAAGAGAGAGGUUUAUGUAAAGUACGGAUCGCGAAGGUAUUAGUCGCUUCAACUCAAAUUAUGCUCCCAUCUAUUUCUGAGAAUGGACAAAGUAUUAUUGCACAAACAAUGUAUACUUCUGUAAGUAUUGCAAGCACAUAUAAAGGUCCCCUUUCCCCACCGCAGAAUAUAGUGUUGUAAGAUUUGUUGCUAUUGAAGUACUAGUAUUAAAGAAAACACUGAAUCAAGAUAUCCUCAACAACUUUCUUUUAUGACAGAAUCAAAAUAGCAAAAUGAUUCAGCUUUCGAAUCUCAUGUCGAUUUUCCUCUACACCGAAAGGCUUUAAAUUAUAAUUUUUUUUUAUCAGACACUCUACUAAAGACUACUAUUACUGAACAAAAUAUUGGCAGUAGAUGCAAAAGCAAACUCCUGGUAAAGUCCCUUUAAAUUUUCACUACCUUUAAUAUUUUUAUUAAUAUUAAAGGAUAAUAACCCCUGAACUUAACUUUAUAAAGUCUUAAAACACAGCAAAACUUAUUCUGGUGCUUGAAAAAGGUGUUUAGGGGGCCAAGCUGUAGAGUUCAAAGCCUAUUUGUACAGUUUUCCCUAGCAUUCAUGUGAGAUUUAUUAAAGUUCAAACAUCUUGAUUAACAAAUGAAGAAGCUUAGCAUUAGAGUCUUAUUAAAGUGGAGAGUUAAGAGUUAGGCACAAGCAAUUAAUUAAUUAAUAUAUUCUUUGCUUUUUCUCUCUAGUGUCUUGUGCUUGCUCCAAAAGUCAAAAAAUAGGCUCUAAAUUCAGAACCCAGAGAAGGUUCCAAUAACACACUCUCUCUCUCUCUCUCUCUCUCUCUUCUUCUUUUCUCUCUCUCUCUCUCUCUCUCUCUCUCUCUCAUAUUUAAUUUGAGCAUUGCACCACAACCCAUGCAUUUUGACUCUUAAUUCCAACCUUGACCAAAUACACACACUUUAUCUCCAGAAUUUAAUGCCUCCCAAAGUCCAAAGCAAAGAAACCCUGCAACAAAAAAUAAAAUAAAAUAAUUCCACUCUUGUUUUUUUUUUUAGGGUUUCUAAAAGAGCAAUGUAAGGAGACCCCUCAACUCUAUGUCAUUUUGAAAUAGGCCUAUUUAGAGAUGUUAUCAAAAUCAAAACCAAUAUUUUGUUGGCUAUUUUGCCAAUUCAGCAAAAUUAUCAUUGCAUUUUAAAACUUCAGUUAAUUUGAUAUAAACUCACUUAAACAAGAAUAUAUAGUUGAAAAUUAAAAAAGUCUUAAUAAAAAAAAGGGGGAUAAAAGUGCACCAAUUCUGUUAAAAAUCUUAUGACUACAUUCAAGAUCAGAUAGUAAAAUCAAAGUUCAGAUAUUUUACGGCGCACUGUAUUUUUACCAAAACUUUUUAAAAAAAUAGGGGGAAAUUCUAAAAUAGAAUAUAAGUGAGGGGGUCUCCACACAUUUUUACGUACUAGGGUUUAAUGCCCCCCAUCAUGCAUCUUCACCAAACACACUCUCUCACAAACAAAAUACAUGUACCAUAAAACCAAAAAGAAGCACCACCAAGUUGGAAUUUGGAGUUCUUAGAGUUAUGGGUCUUAUAAUAAGGAAUCAAAAGGAUCUUACUAGGUUUCUUAUCAUCAUCAUCAUCAUCAUCAUCAUGUUGGUGCUUCUACACCUGGAGACAUGCACCUGUCACAAUGCUAAGAAGAAGGGCUUUGAGAAAUUGGGAGGUGGGUUUUGUGGUUCUUCUACUAAGCUCAACAAUGGUGGGUUGAGGAGAGAACAAGGAGCAGAAGAAGAAGAAGAAGAUAACAAAGUUGGUGGAGUUGGUUUUGAUGAGGAGAAGAGAAGAGUCUACACUGGCCCUAAUCCACUUCACAACAGAUGAGAUUUGUUUCCUCUUUUCUUUUUUCUUUUUUUUGAUUUAUAAUUUUGAUCUUUCUUCUUUAGUGGUUAAUAUUUUAUAAGUUCUUAGAUUUGAUGUUGCUGGGCAUUGUAUAUUGGAUGCAUUUUAUGAUUCUUGCAUGUGGUUUAGUUAAGUAAGUUUACAUAUGUAAUUAAUUAACCCAUCUAAUUAAUUUAGAAGAAUUUUUUUAAAAAAAAAGAUAUGGAGAAAAUUAUCCAGCAAUAACUUAUGUGCUAUAUGAGAAUUUUUUCUUUUAAUAUUGUGAUUUGUAAGAUGGAAGUUUGGUUUUAGUUUUUUGAAAAAACCCUUUUUGGAUAUUUGAUCAUACUAAAAAAAAUUUUAAAAAAUUAUGAUUGUAAGAAAAAAUUGUAGGAAAAAAAAUAUAUAUAUAACAUCCACCGAAAUAUUCAAAAAAAAAAAUUGAUCACAAAGGUAAAUUAUAUCGAAUAGAACAAUCGAUAGAAAACAUUUUUUUUGUCAAAAAUCCGUCCCAUCAUGCCCCGUCAUGAACGGAGCAAUAAGUGAGGAAAAAAAUUAAGAUAAAAAUUAAUCCAUCCUGAAUCUGUCGCACAGAACGUUUGCAUUCCUAAAGCGAUAAAAUAUCCUCCGCCCUCCCUUUCUCUCUUUCUCAUUCUCUUUUCUUUCAAAAGGGGUCAUGAAGCACCCAAGAUUGUACUUGAAAGAUUGUUAGUAUAAAAUGAUUAAAUUAGGCCAAAAUAAAAAAAUGAAGCAAUUUGAGCAACAUGAAAGGAUGAGUAGUAACCCUAAGGGUGCGUUUGGUUCGAGUUAUCCUAGCAGGAUUACAGGCAAUCCUGCCAGGAUAAUUGUGUUUGGUUAAUCCGCUAUGUAAUCUAGUCGUUAAUGUAGCAUUACAAAUCGAGCAGGAUUACAUCGAAAAUAUUAACGGGAGGGGGGUCGUGUAUCUUGCAUUACUGAAACCCGUUAAUAAUACAUAUUAUGUAAAAUGACAAUUUUACCCUCCAACAACCCCAAAUCUAAUUAACAGCAUUAUUUUUAUCUCUCUCUCUCUCCUUCCUCCCUCUCUUUCGCACGCCGCUUUCUCUCGCUCUCUCUCUCUCUCUCUCUCUCUCUCUCUCUCUCUCUCUCUCUCUCUCUCGCACGAACACCUAUCAUCUUCUAUUGCGUCGUCCUCCCAAGUAAUCAUCACAAUCUCCUUCCCUCCGUUCGUCAUUUUCGCAAAAAAUAAUAUUCAAAUGACCACAACAAGGGCAAUUUUGAAAAAAAUUAUACUUUUAUGUCAGGAUUAUUAAAUUUUAUAAACUGAACCAAACGUAUUAAUGCUAUAAACACUGUAAUCUAGUAUUACAUUACUGUAUUAAACCAAACGCGCUAAUGCAGCAUCAGUAGUAAUCUCACGCCGAAAUCCAAGAUACCUGGAUAUGUCAGGAUUAUUAAAUUUUAUAAACUGAACCAAACGUAUUAAUGCUAUAAACACUGUAAUCUAGUAUUACAUUACUGUAUUAAACCAAACGCGCUAAUGCAGCAUCAGUAGUAAUCUCACGCCGAAAUCCAAGAUACCUGGAUAUGUUAAGAUACUUUGUAAUAUUACAUAACUCGAACCAAACGGGCCCUAAAGAAUACUUUUAAAAACUGCUAUCAAACUAUAUAAACGUACUGAACUACAAAUAUUCAAAAUAUUUAGUCACUAACUAUGCUCUAGGGGACAUUUUAAAAUAGCCAUAAUAACAUACAAAUUUACUGGUAUUGAAUGCGAUCUAACGCUAUUGGGCCAAAAGAGACCGGAGUCGAUGUACUUUUUGUCUUUCUGUAGAACUGUAAAAAUUAUCACUUAACUAGUACGAUCGACAUCACAUUAUCACUUAUGGAGAAAAAAUGAAAUAUUUUUGCAUUAUAACUUUUCAAAAUAGCAUUUAAUUCGACUAUCAAACUAUAUAAACGUACUGAAUUAUAAAUAUUCAAACUAUGUAGUUAUUAACUAUAAUUUAGGGGACAUUUUAAAAUAGCCAUAAUAAUGUCCAAUUUAAUUACUAAGUGCCGGUAUUGAAUGCGAUCUAACGCUAUUGGGUCAAAAGAGACCGGAGUCCAUGUACUUUUUGUUUUUUCUGUAGAACUGUAAAAAUUAUCACUUAACUUGUAGGAUCGACACCACAUUAUCACUUACGGAGAAAAAAGAGAAUAUAUUUGCAGGAAAUAUUUUUGUAUUGCAACUUCUCACAUCCUCAAUCUCAAAAGAGAAAAGUAACAUCCUAAUAAUUCCAUAUCGGAUAAAGAAAUAAGAGAUCACGAAUCCUAAUAAUAAUAACUGGACUUAAAUAUUUAUUGCCGGUUGUUUCGUCUCAGUAAGUUAAUAUUGCUAAAAGGUCGGAUCUUUAAAUUUGGUAUUAGAGACAGUUCACGAGCCAAAAGUGUGAGAUAGGUUUCACAUCACUUGUCCCAUAUCGGAUGAAAAUAUAAGAGAUUUAAUUACUUGUCUCCUAUCGGAUGAAAAUAUAAGAUAUUAUGGAGCUUAAUAAUAAUAAUAAUAAUUGGGAUUAAAUAUUUUGGAUAAAUGAUUUGGACCCAACGAUUAUUAUUAACAGCGGUCUAAUCGUUAAGAAACCUACUGCAAAAUUUUAGAUAAAAGUCCAUCAAAAAAUGUUGCCUGAUGAGCUAUUAAUGCAUAACCAUACACAACUUUUAAUUUAUUUUAUUUCAUUUUAUUUGCAGAGGAAAGAUACACAAUUGAAAAAUAUCAUCCAUAUAACUAUUUAUAAAUGUGUAAAAUUUAUACCUCAGCUAUUUUAGGGUUCAAAAAACUCUUUAAUUAGAUUUUUAGAUUUAAAAAAAAAUAAUAAUAAGACUAGUGCGGAAAUAAUUGCCUUUGGUUGAAUUUGGUCGGGGCUACAAGAUAAAAUUGAAUCAAAAUUGAUCUAUUUUAAUUUCAAAAAAAAUCAAAACCAAAACCACACCAAUGUUGUGGAAAAUCAAAUCGAGCCAAAUCACAAUUUUUUUUUUUUUGUUUCGAUUUGAUUUGUCGGUUAGAACAUUUAUAUUUUAAAAUUAAUUUAGUUUGUACAACCUAUCGGUUAAUUAUUUUUUUAUUUGAUUUAUCCAAUCGAUUUUUGGGAUUAACAUGGUUUAUCAAGUAGUAGCUUUGUGAUAAAUAAUUANUACUAAUAUUUAAAAUCUAACUGUUUAUUUUUUGAGGAUAUGAUUGACUUUUAAAUAUUAGUAACUAAUCAAAUACCAAAUUAAUAGUUUCCAAUACUUUGUUUCCUUAUUUAAUUUAGUUACUUACCAAAUUAGAUAGUAGCUAAUUUUACAAGUAACUAACCCCAAAAUUAAAAUUUAACUUGAAUUUUAAAUUUAUAUUUAUUAUAGUAUAAAUUAAAUUUUAAAUGAGUAACAAAUUUUAAAUUCAAAUUGUUAAUUCAAUAUUAAAGUAAUAUAAAGUUCAAAAAUAUUAAUCUAUUUUAAAUUCGAGUUUAAAUUACAUUGUACUUAUAAACCCAACUUUUAUUUUUUAUUUAAAUAAAAAGUUUCUAUUUCUGAAAAUAAAAUUUAAAUUAUUAAUUCAAUAUUGAGACAGCAUUAAAGCUCAAAAAUAUUAAUCUAAUUUAAAUUUUAAAUUUGGAUCUAAUUUGAAUCUCGAUGGCUCUAUUAGCUCUAUUAUUUUGACUUUUUAGAUUUGAAUUAUUCCUGUUAUAUUAGUUAAAUGUUAUUUAAUUUAAUAACUCCAUUGAUUGUCAGUUGUUCUAAUCCAUUUUUCUUAAAAUUAUUAAAUUUGAUAAAAAAAUAUAUAUAAAUUCAAUAAAAUCUCCUUUUUAACAGUACUCCUUUGUUUUAAAAAUUAAAAGUAAGGGCUCUUUCCAAACGAAUUUGAAAGUUGAGGGUGCUCUUUCUUAAUUCCUUAUAGUUGAAGGGGUCAUUGGAAAAUAGUAAUGCUUGACUCAAUCUCAUAAAUGGCAAAAGUCCAAAAUUACCCUCACGAAUAUAGCAUGAAGUGAAUUUUUUAAUGACCAAAAAACCCUUAAUAGAGGUAUCGGUUAACCGGUACCGGAGAACAAAUAGCCGGUCACUGGCUUUGCCUCACUGAAUCAUAACCGUUCACUGUAGUAAAUUAAUGGACAGGAUUAAAGUAGUGUAUAGGAAAUGGCUCUAUAAAUAUAAAAAAACUAUGUUAUACUUUUAUACAAAUGAACAUAAAUAAAUAUAAAACAAUAUACGCUUUUGGUUUCUUGGUUUGAGUUGGUUUUUUUUUUUUCAUCAAUACAAAACCAAAAUCAAAACCAAAAUAAAACUUCUGAUUUGAGAAGUUCUUGAAUCAAAACCAAACUAUUUACAGCUGAAUCUAAAACAAAUCAAAUCAAAAAUAUCAUUUCGAUCGUAGACUUAGCAUUUCUCUAACCGUACAACAUACUUAUCUAUUCUUUACAUGCACUAUAAGUUCAAUUAACAAUAAUUGGUUCUUAUCGACCGCCUCUAGAGCAAGUGGCAAAGGGAUUGGUGGUUGGUACCCGAGACCCAAGUUCGAAUCCUAAUUGAUUCAUAUUUUCAGCUAAGUUUAUUUCUAAAUGAAAUAAACGAAGCGGGUAGCGUGUACCUACCUAUCUCUCAAAAAAAAAUAAUGGGUCUCGGAUACCAACUACCAAGCCCUUUGCCACUUGGUUCUUUAGUUUUUAAUACAAUUUUAGAGAUGCAGAUGGAUCUAAGUCGACGGAUUUUCUUUCCCUAUCUGUUUUCGAAUGAGUCGGUAAGCGAGAGUGAAAAAUAAAGAAAAAUAUAUAUAAUUUGCUUCGAAUCUAUCCAAAUAUGCUAAAAAAAUGAAGCAAAAUGUUGGCUUAAAAAAAUCAGCAUAAUAUUAUGUAAUCAGAGAUCAGGGUGGGCCGAGUAAGGAUGUCAAUGGGUAUGGAUACCCGAAAUAUUAUCAGAAUUCGAACCCGAAUAGAACGGGUUUAUUUGAGCUAAACAGAUAUGAUUUGGUUAUGGGUAUAGAAAAUAAAAACCCGAAUAUGGAUACGAGUAUGGAUUUUAUAUUUACCCGACCCGACCCGAACCCGAAUCCGAACCCGAACCCGAAUCUGAACCCGAAUAUGAAUAAAUUAUAUAUAUGUAAACUUUAUACAAUAUAUAAAAUAUUUAAUAAUUUUUAUCCAUUAGAUAUUCAUCCAACGGUAUACAAUAGACACUUUAUCUUUCAAAAUCCAGAUAUUGAUAUUGUAUGGCAUGUUUAAUGUUGUAUUUGAUUGUAUUUUGAAAAUUUUAAUUUUACUAUAAUAUAUUUUAAAAUAUGGUAAAGAGAAACCAUUAUUUCGGGUUCGGAUUUUUGGGUUCGGUUUUGGGUUUCGAAUUUUUGGUCAAGAUCGGAUAUGGAUAUGGAUUUUUAAAACCCGCCGGGUUUGGACCCGGGUUCGUGUUUCAAUUUGGUUUUCGGGUUCGGGUUUGGGUUUUUGAAAACUCGACCCGUUGACAUCCCUAAGGCCGAGUCACAUUCGAAAUGACAGAAGGUCGGGGUUGAGCCGAGAUAUGUUCAAAGUGAUGAAAGCCUAGAUGGAACGAGUCACAAUCAAAACUCAUGGGCACUAUAACUUUACGCUUAAGUGAAAUAGUUGCAUUCUUUUAAUAGCUUAAAUUCUUGGGAUUAAUGGUUAGCCCCAGGAAUCCGACAAGUGGUAUCAAAAAAUAAAGGUCACGAGUUCAAUUUUUGCAUGCUGUGAAUUUGAUUUUUACGUGCUGUGAAUUUGUGGAAAUUAUUAGCUUAGCUUAAAGGAGUCGGCAUCCUAUUCUAUUGCAUUUCGGAAUGGGAAGAGCCCUUUUUUCUCUUGGUACACACAAAUUUGCCCACAAUUUUUCAAAAAUCAGCUCUUGUCACGACCCGCUUUGAAAUGUAGCAGUAAUUAGGGACAAAAAUAGAAAAAUUACAACUUGUUCUGAUCACUGGAUCUUCUUUUUUUUUUUCUUUUUUUUUUUUUAACAUCCUUUGAUACAACAUGUUGUAGGGUUUUCCAACUAAAUAGAUCUACGAAUAGGUCCACUCCAAUUUUAAAUGGCACAUGUGCCUCAUAAAUCUAUUUAAUCAUAAAAUUAGCUAGUUGGACGAUAAUAUCAUCUUUAUGAUCUAUCACUAUAAGCCUAUCAACUAUCUUUAGUGGCCGUUCGGUUUAGGGAUGUCAAUGAGUAUGGAUAUCCGAAAUUUUAUCCAAACCCGAACCCGAAUGAAACGGAUAUAUCCGAUGGGUAUGGAUAUGGAUUUGGAUAUGGAUAUAAAAAAUAAAAACCUGACGGAUAUGGAUUCAGAGAUGGAUUUUGAUUGUACCCGAUCCGAACCCGAACCCGAAUUUAUUUUGUAUUAUAUAUAAUAUAUAUGUAAAAAUUUGAUGUUAUAUUUGAAUUUGUAUUUUAAAAAUUUAAAUUUAAUAUAAUAUAUUUUGAAAUAUUGAAAAAAAAAUAAUUGUUUCAGGUUCAAAUUUUCGGGUUCGGGUUUGGGUUCGGGUUUCGGAUUUUUGGUCGGGUUCGGAUUUGGAUAUGGAUUUUUAAAAUCCGUCGGGUUCGGGUUCGGGUUCGGGUCUCGGGUUUGGAGUCGGGUUUGGGUUCGGGUUUUUAAAAAUCCGCUCCGAAUCCGAUCCGUUGACAUCUCUAGUUCGGUUCAUGCUAUAUAACAGCACUAGUUAUUUCAGCAUAAUUAGAUUUCAGGCUGUUUGGUUCGUGCUAUAUGAUAGUACUAGUUAUUUCAGCAUAAUUAGAUAUUUGAAAUCUGUGAAGCAGAUUAAUACAAAUGUUGAAUAACUAUAUUUGGUUUAGUGCAGUAAUAUAAUGUCGGAUUGUCAUAAAAUUACUCUGUUUCGUUCAUCUUAUAUGUAUUAGUAAUCUUGACUGUAAAGUUUAUAUAAUUCCAAAAAAAAUCCUUACAUACAUAUUUAUUUGAAAUUCAAAUAUAUAAUUUUGAAAUAAAUUUAAAUUCAAAUUUUAAAUUUAAAUUAAAUAUUGGUUCAAAUUUUCAAUUGAAAUCAUGAUUUUAAGUCUAAAUUUUAAAAUAAAAUUUUAUUUUUGAGUUCAAAUUUCAAAGUCAAAUUUAAGAAUUGAACUUAAAUUUUAAAUUUAAGUUCAGAUUUUAAAUUUAAAUUUGAAAAUCAAACUUAGAUUUUUUUAAUUUGAAGUUCAAAUUUAAAUUUUGAUUUUAAAUUCAAACUUCAUAUUCAAAGUCUGAUUUUGGUUUCAAAUUUAAAUAUAAAUUUAGUUUUUGAAUUCAAAUUUUGAUUUCAAAUUCAAAUUUAAAUUUUGAAUAGUCAAAAUUUUAAAGUAAAUUUCAUUCAAGUUUUAAAUUUAGAUUUAGAAUUUAAACUCAGACUUCAGUUUGAGUUCAGAUUUUAAUCCAACUCUUAGUUUCAAAUUUAGAUUUGGAGUUCAAAUUUUUAAUGUGAAUCAGAAUUUUAAUUCAAAUUUAGAAUUUGAACUCAUAUUUCAAGUUAAAUUAAAAUAAAAUUUACAUUCAAAUUCAAAUUCAUAUUUGAAUACAAAAUUCAAAUUUAAAUUUAAAUUUCAAAUUCAAACUUAAGUAAUUCAACUAAUGUGAAAUUUUGAACUUUAUUUCAAAUUUAAAUUUGAGGCAAGUAGCGGUGGAGAAGGAUAACUUUUAAAUUUUGCAUAAGUUGCAGCAUAACAUGUAAUCAGUAAUGCAAGAUACCCAUCUUUUUAUUGUUUUACUAGUAAUAUUUUACGGUACCUUACAAACUAAUAUACAUGACAUUGUUUAAUUGGUGGAAAUGUGCGAACCAUGAAAUGGUUUUUUGAAAGUAUGGUAGAUAAUUUUAAUAUUGAAAUCCAUCAAUUGAGUUGUAUGGUUUGUAAAAUAUUAUAAAUUUGCUUGUAAACAAAGUAUUUUUCAAUUUUUAAAGAUCCCUGUAGGAUUCUCUGUAAUAUAAUAUAAACUUGGCCUUCUUUUGCACCAUGUGUUGUUUUCUUCUUCUUUUUUUUUGAUAAAAAUUUUCUGCGAUAGUGUACGCUCAGAGAUCCAACAGAUUGCUUGUAAUCUAUACAUUACUUCGGAUUUAUUUGUUGAGAAACUAUGAAAACUUAGUAACAACUUUUUUUUCUUUUAAACUAAAUUUUGAAUUGGUAUUUACCAAGAAUAAGAUUUUGUUUUGUUUUUUUUUUUAUUUUUUUAUUUGUUUGUUUGGUUGUUUACUUGUUUUUGGUUGUUGUUGUUGGUGUUUGUGCUGGAACUUGGAGUGGGUCUCCCAAGAUGAAGCAAAAAAGUUUUUAUUUUUGUUUAUUUAUUUAUUUUAUGGUUUCUGAGGACUAUGAAAAAGCCUAUGGCUAUAUGCUAUGGCUAUAUGAAUGCAUUACACUUGGCUUUUGUGAAUGGCCUUAUCUAUGUAAAAGCUCACACAUUGUCCAAGGUGAUCAUCCCAUGUAUAUGCAUUUGAUUGCUUUAAUUUCCCUUUCAUUUUUGCUUUUUGUAAAAGAGUGCUGCUAUAAGAUUACCCUACAAUAUUAUUAAUAAUAUGAUAAUAUAUUAUUAUAUUUAUAAUAAUAAUAUUGUAAAUAAUUCAUCAUUCAUAUAAAUUGAAAAAAAAAAAAAACAACAACAAGAUUAAACGAAGCCUAAGAUUUUAUAUAUUAUAUAUAUCUCAAAAUUGAUAACUUGAAUAGCUGACGUGGUGAUAUAUUUGUAAGUUUACCAAUUUAAAAGAAUGAAUUUAUAUUCAAUAAAAUUUUUAUAGAAAAUUUCGUUCACUAUUUAAUGAAAGAUCAAUAUCUUUGAUCUGAAAUUUAAAUCUUUUAUUAUUAUUUUUUAAAAUUUUUAUUUUUAGCCUUUUAUGUUGAAACUAUUCGGUUUAAGGGUAAAUAAUAUAAACAAAUUAUAAAAAUUGGUUUCAAUAUAGUUUUAGUAGUGUAGCUCAUAUUUAAUUGAGUCAAUCAUCGAUUCGAAUAUCUCAUCAUCGAAAACAACAUAAUAGCAAUGAGGCCUCCGUACUACUGAUAGUAUUCUAGCCUAAUUCAAAUAUAUACAAAGAGAGAGAGAAAGAGAGAGUUGUAGAGAAUGCUUAUAAUAAUACCAACUUAUUAAUGCUUUUUAGUUUUUGGCCCUUGGAUUAAGGGGUCGUUGGAUUACCAUGAUAGUGGUCCAGUUAAGUUUAGAAGUAGUGAAAUAAUAUAAUUUAAGAAAUAUAAAUGACAAAAGAGUAUGUACACAGUAGUUACGGAUUUUUGAUAUCACAACAGCUUCAUGUGUGAGUUGCUACUUUCCAUGAAAUUUGAUUUCUAGAUAUUUUCAAUAUUCUGGAUCAAGCUUAAUGAUGUCGAUCAUCGAUUCGAAAACUUCAUCAUCGAAAAUAAAUUUGUAACAACAGAGCGCAUUUACGACUAAUAGUAUUCAAGCUCAACUCUCUUCUCUCCUUCUCUCUCUCUAUAUAUAUAUAGAAAGAGAGAGAGUAGGGCUACUAUACUCUUAUGAGUAUAGAGCUCUUCGUGUUCAUAAGUUGUUUUCGAUAAUUGAACUUCCGAAUCGACGAUCCACUUCGUUAAAUGUGUUCUAAAGUAUUUGAAACUUUCAGAAAAUAAAUUUCGUAAUUUUUUUUGAAAUCAUAAUAAAAUCCAUUAAGUGGGCAUAAAAUGAACAGUCAAAAUCGAAUAACAUCCUAAAAAUCGAUAAUUGGAUCCUUCAAUUUAAGAUCAGAGUUAUUGAUCUUUAUUUAGAUAGUGAAUAGAAUUUUCGAUAAAAAAUUUAACUAAUUCUGAGUCUUUUACACCGUUAAACUAGCAAGUAUUCCAUACCAACUGUUAAAAAUUAUCAAUUUUGAGAUUUUUUAAUCAAAAGGUAAAUGAUGUCAAAAAUUAUAAAAUUUAAUUUUUUAAAAGUUUUAAAUGCUCUAAAUAACGUUUAACGGUAUGGAUCGUCAAUUUGGAAGUUUUAUUAUUAAAAACAACUUAUGAGUAAGAAGGCGAUCGUACUCAUAAGAGUAUAGUAGCCGGACUCUCUCUCUCUCUCUUUCACUUUCUCUCUUUAUAUAUAUAUAUAUAUAUAUAUANAGGUACUAAAAUAAAAAAGUGUGAAACCACGGGGUUUUUUUGAAGUUUUCCCUAAUAAUAAUAAUGAUUCAGGGGUAAAAAUGUAAUUACACUUCAGUUAGCCGGAAUCGUAUUCCUACGUUCUCCACGCAGAGGUUAACAAGGAAACCUCCCCAACAGGUCACGUAUCAAAGCACAACUUAGCCUCUUAAAAAGGAAGAAACUAUUCACUGCACCGGGUGUAUAAGCACAUCUCAUACGCCACACCUAAUAAAUUUUAUGAGGAAAAUGUGUUUUAUGUAUAAAAAAAUUUAUAAAUUUUAGACACGAAUACUUCCUAAAUUGGAUAAUGUCCCAUUAUAAACUUAGCUUUAUAAAUAUUAUAUGGUAAAUUAUAUAACAUCUAUCAAAUUAAAUUUUAAUUUAAGGUGUAAAUUAUUAAAAUCUAUGUAUUAUGACGCGGUUACAUGUCGCGCAUGUCCGUGUCGGACACAUCUUUGUUCGUGCUAGACUCGUAUUUGACGCAAACCCACCAUGGAUGUGCGUUCAUGGCGCAUUCCUAUGAAAUUUUUUUAUUUCACUUUUUUUAUGCAUAUAUAUAUAUAUAUAUAUAUAUAUAUAUAUAUAUAUAUAUUAGGGCUAUUAUACUCUUAUGAGUAUACACCUUUUUGUACUUAUAAGUUUUUGACAAUUGGAUGAAGAGAUGUGCAGUUAGGAUGAUAGAGGUCCCCGAUUAGAAUGAUAGUGGUCCCCUAGAGUUAAGUGGGUGGUAAGUUGAAUAGUAUGAUCUAAUGGGUGAAAAUGGUCAAAGGGAUAGAUUUAACAGUCGAAAAUUUAUGAGUGCAUAGAGAUCUAUGCUUAUAAGAAUAUAUAGUCAAACUCUCUCUCCCUCUCUCUCUCUAUAUAUAUAUAUAUACAUAUAUUAGGAGUAGGACUAUUGUGCUAUUAGGAGUAUAGUAGUCCUUACGCUCCUACCUUUCUAACCAUCUAUCAAUUUCGAUGGAUGGUUAGGAUGAGAGAGAGAAAAAAAAUUCGGGUGCAGUUGAGUGUCUUAUUUUUUCUCAUCUUUGAAUUUGUAUCCAUUUUUUCUUCUCUCUCUCAUCUUAACCACCAAUCAAAAUUGAUGUAUGAUUAGAAAGUUAAGAGCACAAGAAUUACCCGUGAUCCUAAUAGCACAAUAGCCCUACUCUAUAUAUUAGUUAUGGCAUUGCAUUUAGCUUCAAGCAUGAGUAGCUGCACCACAUUCUCUCUCUCUCUCUCUCUCUCCCUCUCUAUUUUUGUUCAAAUUCCAUGUUCCCUCUUUUUGUUUGUAGCUAAACACAUCCAACUACGCAAAAUUCUUCAGUAGAUCCAAAUGAAGAGUACCUGCCAAAUUAUUUGAUAUAUACUAAAGCAGGACAUAUGGAUUAUCUAAAAAGAUCACUUUUUCCUUUUAUUUUUCUUUCUCUUUGUACAGGAGAUUCUACACUGAAUCUCUGGGAUCAUUCCACAUGGGGAACAACUAUUCAUAUUUAGUGGGUAACCCAACAAUGCCAUUUUGAAUCAUAAAUUAAAAGGGAGAGAGAAAAAAAUUCCAAAAAAAAGAAAAAUCCAACAGUACCAUCCAAUUUCAGAGUUCAACAGCUUUGCUGUGCUGUGGCCUCUGGGGUGAUACAGAACCUUCAUUUAAAAAAAGUGAAGCUACCUGGUGCUCAUUACAUGGUUCCAACUACUUAGAUUUAUCACAUAUAAUUUUUUAUUUAUUUUUUUUUAGAAAAAAAAUAGCGUGUUAUUUACUUUAUCCAAUAAGGUAUUGUUUGGUUUGAGCAUAAGCAAAAAAUGAUUAUUCCAGAGAUAGAUAUAAAUUGAGGUAUAAGCGGGGAUUAGAUCAAUUUUACGUUUGGAUGAAAAUUGGGCUAUUCCUGAGAAUAAAAAAAAUAGCGUUUGGUUAGUUAAGAUGGAAUAAGAAAGAUAGUGGGUUUUAUAAAUAAAAAAUAAUCAUAUUAUCCUCUUAUUAUAUUUGAAUUUAAAUUUUUAAAUUUUUAAAUAUAUAUUUUUAAAUUUAAAAUUUUAACUUUGAAAUUUCAAAUUUUGAAAUUUAAAAUCUCAAAUUUUAAAUUCAAAAUUUUAAUUUAAAUUUCAAACUUUAAAUUUAAGAUCAAAUUUAAAUUUGAAAAUAUAAAAUAUAAAAUUUAAUUUCAAAAUUAAAAUACAAAAUUUAAAUUUAAAAUUAAAUUUAAAAUUAUAAACUUUAUUUUGAGAUUAUAAAUUAUAAAUUUUAAAUUUAAUUUUAAUUUUUAAAUUUUUAAAAUAAGAAUAGGGUGGAACAAUAUAAUACAAUAAACAUUUAUUAUACAAUCAUUUAUAAAUUUUUUUAAAAUUCUACUUAAACUUAAAUUUAAUAAAAAGAAUUUAUUAUAAUAUUUAAAUAUAAUUUAUUAUAAAUUUUAUUUUAAUAUUUAAAUAUUAAUAAUAUGUAUUAAUAUAGUACAAUUAAUAAUUUUAUAAUAAAAAUAAUGUAUUUUAAUAUUUAACAUAUUAUAUUUAUAUAAUUUAGUUUUAAUUCAAUUUAUAAUUUUAAUUAAGUUUGAAAUUAAGCAUUGAAAUAGUGCUAUUCCAUCAAAAUGGUGGAAUAGCAAAUCCCUUGCUAUUCCAGGAUAACCGGGAAUAGCAAGGUUUGACCGGAAUAAAAUAUUCCGGCCAAAUUUCACCCCGUUUGGCGGAAUAGCGGAGAUAACUUUCGUUAUCCCCGCUUAUUUUCCCAAUCAAACGGGGCCUAAGAGUAUAAACUAGGCUACAAUAUUGAGACAACGGGGAUAAGAAAAAAAAUAAAGUAUAAAAAUAAAGGAAAUGUAUAGUACUCACUGUACUCCUACUGUAAGUAAGGUGUACUAUUAUUUGAUAAAAUAUUUUUGAAAUAAUACUAUUUAAGUAAAUGUAAUAUCAAAUCAUCUAUGACAAUAUUUUUCUGCUGGGGUCAAGAAAAACACAAAAUUAAAAGCUUUGUUUUGUUUGAAGUCUCAAAAUGUACGCUUCUGCAGAUAGCGUCGUAUUUUUCUCGUUGUCGAUACUCUUAUUACAUGUUUGGCCCUCAUUGAUAGAACUAUUGGCAAGCAAAAAAAACAUGUAGCUUCCGAUGUGACGAAAAGUUAAAAUGAGAUUGUGAGUCAUAAAAAGAGAAGAUGUAAUUUAGAAGUCAUGAUUCUGCAACAAAGGGAAAAAAGAAAACUAUAAAAAGAGUUUUGAUGCAAUGCAAUCUCUCAAGGGGUGUUGGUUUUCCGUAAAAUAUCUAAGAAAACAGUUUUCUCGUGGGAAAAAGUAUUUUUCUAAAGAACAGUUUUUUUCUAGAAGAUGAAAACGGUAAAAAUUAUUAUUAUUAUUAUUUUUACUGGAAACUUCUUUUUUUUUUUGAAAUAAUUUUUCAGGUAUCUCCUAGAAACCAAACAAACACCCCUUAAUAGUUAAUAUAUAGAGCUUUAACUUACUGAUAAAAUGCUUCAAUAGUAAACAGUACUGCACACAGCUAACAAAGGGAAUGGAAUGUGUGGGCAUGCAUGCAUUGUGGGAAUAUUAAUACAUGAGAGGAGUGCUGCUCCCCACAAGCAGUGGCUAUCAUUGAGACACUGUGCAUUGGCCCCUGUAUAAGCAAUAGGAGUGGUUAUGCAUUAUUAACUCACAUCAUAUGCCAUACUUUUGAUAGGGACAAAGGAACCACUCACUUAUAUAUAUGCAUUAUUGGGAGCAGUACAAAGAAUUUGCAAGCAUUUGGGGGGCCUGUAAUUUUGAGGGAAACCACUCUAUGCAAAUCUAAAAAAAAAAAAAAAAUUAAGAUUUUUUUUUUUUUUUUUUUUUAAGAUAGAGAGAAAGGUAGUAUGUUUGGUGAAAACUAAGAUUGUUUUCAGUAGAUGCUUGGUACAAUUUAGCCAAAUUAUUAGGAUCUUAUUGGUAAGGCACUUGGUGGGAUUUGAGAGAUUUCUUUGGUUCGAAUCCUAAUUUGAUCUUGGAUUACCGAGGUAUCAUCCAUAACUAUUUAGCCACUUGGGCUAGAGCUUGGUAGUAAUUUCAAAAUAGGAGCGUAAUUGUGUAGAUAUCAAGUUUUCUGCACUUAAAAAAGAAAGUUGCACACCAACCGUCCCUAGAGCAAGUUGUAAAGAACUUGGUAUCCGAGGUUUCAAGUUCGAACCAUAAUUGAUUCACAUUUCCAGCUAAGUUUAUUUUUAAAUGAAAAAAACGAAGCAGAUAGCGUACUACAGAGCUCUCUCAAAAAAAGAAAAAGAAAAAAGAAAGUUGCACAAUUUCGGCGAGUAAAUGAGCAAUGAAUGUCAAAUUUUCAAUAUGGGCAAAAAUUUGCAGUGAGAUGUGGAUGGCGAAUUAGAAAUUACUGUAUCAAUCUACUUAUUUGUAAACCUUGUAACAUGAGAAUAUCUGUUCAAGAUUUUUUUUUUUUGGGUUUAUUACAGAGUUGUUUGGAUUGUUUUGUAGAAAUACUAAAUACAACAAAACAAUCCUAAUCAUCUUAACUUUUUCUCUGUUUUUUUUGCAAUUUUGCAGUAAAAUGAGAGCAAAAACAUCUUAACAACUCUCUCCCCCUAACUCCCUCUAAAAAUGGAAUGUUUUUUUUUUGGUAAAAUGAAGGAUAAUCCAGAGCAAUUCAAACACCCUUAAUUGUGCACAAACUCAAUUCAAAAAUAAUAGGUGCCACAACUAUUUUUGGUUUUCAAUUUUUUUUAUUUUGAACUUGGUUGAAGAUAAUAGAUAAAAAUGCCACUCAUCGAAGCAAAUUUACCCUCCAAUUACAGUAAAAUUUAAAUUCUUCAAUGAUGACAUGUGAGACAUAAUGCUCUGUGAUAAAAUAUACAGAUAAUAUUUUUUAAUUUUAUAGUUGAUAGUGAAAGCCAAGAAGACAAAGUGACAAACACAACAUGUUAAGUGAGCCAUCAUCAUCAUCAUCAUCAUCAUCAUCAUUCUAUGCCAAAUUCCCCGCCAUUGAAGAUCUUUGUUUCAUCUUCCCUAAUUGACACAAAAACAAAUCAUCAACUAGUCAUAUAACACUCUUAUUCCUCCUCCCCUUUCCCCAAUAAAGAAGAGCAUAAGCAUAAAGCAAACAAAAGAGGCUCCUCUCUCUCUCUCUCUCUGUCUCUCUCUUCUCUCUCUACCUGGCAUCUUCCACUGUGUCAUGUGAGAUUGUGAAAAGCCAUUUUGCAUUACAAUCUCUCUCUCUCUCUCUCUCUCUCUCUCUCCCCUUGUGUUGUGGGGAGCCAUUUCCCAACUACUCUCUCUCACUCUCUUUGGCAUCUUCCACUUUGUGUUGUGAGGAGCCAAUUCCCAUUAGAAACUCUCUCUCUCUCUCUCUCUCUCUCUCUCUCAUUUGUAUUCUACUCAAAUCACUAUAUUCAUAUAUUCACCAUCCCCUUUCAUUCUCCUCUCUUAUUGGUAUAUCAUCUCCUUCUUUGGAAAUUUCCUCUCUUUUUCUCACUACAUUCCUCAAAGUUGGGUUUUUUUUUUUUUUUUUUUUUUAACUCUGAAAGGGUCCUCUUCCUCACCACAAGUUCAAUCAAAAUCCAAUUUUUAAUCUUGGGGUUUCUGUUUCUGCUUGUUCUUGAUGCUUCUCCCUCUUCAAUUUCUCAAAAUUUUCCACAAAUUUAGUUUACUUUUUACUCUUUGAUCUUGGUUUCUUCCACUUCCUCUGUGGAAUUGGGGCUUCCAUGGGACUCUGCCAUGGGAAACCGACUCAAAGCCCUAAGUUGGAGGGGAAGGAGGAGGAGGAUGAAGGAGACGAGUACGAGGAAGAAGAAGAAGAAGAGGAGGAGCGAAACCCUAAAAUCCCCGACCCCGACGCGCCGCCCCGCUCGAAGCCCUCGAUCCCCUUCUACAUCCCGAGCCCCCUCCCGGGCUCCUACAAGAGCUCCCCGGCGAAUCCGAGCGCCACUUCAACCCCUUUGCGAUUCUUAAAGCGCCCGUUCCCCCCGCCCUCCCCCGCGAAGCACAUUAGGGCGCUCCUCGCGCGGCGGCGCGGCGCCGUGAAGCCCAACGCCGCGGCGCCGGCGCCGGCGCCGGCGUCGGCUAUUCCCGAGGGGGAAGAAGCGGGGCUAGGGUUGGACAAGUGCUUCGGCUUCUCGAGGCAGCUCUUCGCCAUGUACGAGCUCGGGGAGGAGGUGGGGCGGGGCCAUUUCGGGUAUACCUGCGCCGCGAAGCCGAAGAAGAAGGGGGAGUUGCAGGUGGAGGAGGUGGCCAUUAAGGUUAUCCCAAAAGCAAAGGUAGUUCCUUUUUUCUCUUUUUCUUCUCCUUUUUUUUUUCGUAUUACAUACAGUGAGAAAAUCUGAUGAGAAAAGUACUUUAUUUGAUUUCGUACGCAAUGUUACGUUCCCACGUAGCAGUUACUUUGGUGAGAAACACACUAGAAAUAAAGGAAAAGAUAUUGAAUAAUAUCUGAAUGUUUGUAAGGUAUUAGAAGUUUAGUGAGAUGUAUAGAUUAACUUAAAGCUGGAUUAUAAAAGGAUAUCCCAGUAUUUAACCCUUUUUUUACAGAUGUGCAUUUAGAAGUGCUUUUCUUUGUUUGGUUUUAUGAUCAUGAAAAUGCACCAACUUUUUUCGAGUUGUAAUUUGACCAAAAGCCCAGCAACUAAGAAUGCAUAUCAAGUUGACCCACAAAGCUUCUUUAGAACAAAUCAGGCUCAGCAAUAUUUGGUUUGUUCCUAAUUGUAGGAUAAGAUUAAAAGUGCUUCAUUUUUUGGGUGAAAACAAUAAAGUGCACCAACUCUUUUUUUGAAUUUUAACUUGGCCAAAAAUUUUCCAUUUCAAGUUGAUCCAUAAAGCUUGCUAAUAUUUGGUGUUUAAGUGAUGUUGGACUCAUUCACAUUAAAUCCAACAAUCCCAAUCAGUCAUUUUUCUUGUUAUAUCAUGUUCUUAGUAAUAUAAUGGUGAAGCUUAUUACUAUUCUUUGAAGGUAUUUAUCUGAAUAUGUGACAUGGUGUCCGACUAUGGCUAAUUAAUUAUUUACAAUUCACAAGCUUUCUAACAUAUAUUGCUCUGCGACAAGUAUUGAUACCUUCUGCAGAUAUAUUGUUUUUUUCCUUUUAUCUUCUUUCUGUAAAGCAUGUUUUGCAAAUUUGUUUUUGACUGCACUACCAUGUUAACUUUUGUUUGCUUUAUCUGAGUGUUCAUUGAUUAAAAAUCCUGUAGAGCUGGAGCAAUGUCCGAUAAAUGGACAAGUGAUAAUCAAUACCUGGCAUUUAGUACUACUAUUUGUUUUCUACCUAUAACAUAAUACUGUAGUGUAAAAUCUGCUGUGUAGUACUUUGUCCUUUCUCAAUCAUUAAAUGAUGCCACUUAUAAUAGUUUGCCUCAGUUGGUUCUUUGAGGAUGGGAUCUAUAUAGAUUUUUUUUUCCCCUCUUAAAUAAUUUCUCUGUUUUUUCCAUGAAGAACUUAUUUAAACUUUGCUUAGAAUGGAAUAAUAAGCCUGAUCUGUUACUUUCUUGUAAUGAAAAACAAUUAAAAUGCUAAUAUUUACUGGAUUGGCGACCUUUUUCUUGUUUUCACUGUUGGUUUAGUAUGUUGUGUAAAAUAACACUUUUGAGUGUUUUGUUAUGAUAUUUUGAAUUUCAUAUUUGGGGAGCUGAAAAUGGUCGUAGGUGAAGAACUAAGCAUAAAAUAAAUACAUAUGCAUAUCUCGCAUGGUCUAAUGUGGUAAGCACUUUGGCAGAUGACAACAGUUAUUGCUAUUGAAGAUGUUAGACGAGAAGUGAGGAUAUUGAGCUCUCUGACGGGACAUCAGAAUCUAGUGCGAUUCUAUGAUGCUUAUGAGGAUGAAGAGAAUGUUUAUGUAGUCAUGGAGUAAGUCCUCAUUGCAUUUUCUUGUUCUCUCCCUAUUGAACGAUAUUGUUGAUUUAUCUCAUGUUCAAAAUUUAAACAUAAUGAACUGGCAUCUGUGUUGUAGCACAGAGGCAGUAUCCAAAUUUGGAGUCUGCUAUAUUGAAACUUUUGGGAUGAGAAAUACUAACUGAAAAAUGGAAAAAAAAUUCGAAAAAGUGGUUACUUAAAACUUAUUUUGGAAUUUGUGACUCCCUUGCCUACAUGGUAGGAAUGAGAUGCGGCCAUUUCAGCCCAUUUAGGUUGUUGAACAGCCCAAGUAUGGCUUAACUUUCUACCAGCUGAAUAAAAAGCGAACCGAUAUCCAUUUCAACCUUGUUUAGGCUGUUGAAUACCCCGAGGUUCGACUUGACUGUUGAACAGCCGAGGGCGCCAUGAACACACACCUUUCCCUGUCCCGCACUUGCUUUGAAUGUACUGUUUAGGCUGUUUAUAUUACCUUUCUUUGAUCUAGCGCUUCAUAAUCUUGCAAGUAUUAUUUGUAGCUUAUAAUUGUAAUUUUGUGCUCUUCAGAUUAUGCAAGGGAGGUGAAUUAUUGGACAGGAUAUUAUCAAGGUAUCUUUAAAUUCAUGAUAUAUACAUAAGUUACAUUUCCAGUUUCUGUUCAAGUUACCUACUUGUUUGUUUAAGUUUGAGGUUUGAGGUUCGAGGGUCGAACCAUGUGAUUAGCAAUUACAUACACGAUUGGCAGGGGCGGGAAGUAUUCUGAGGAAGAUGCAAAGGUUGUUAUGGCUCAGAUUUUGAGUGUCGUAGCCUUCUGUCAUCUUCAUGGUGUUGUCCAUCGAGACCUUAAGCCAGAGGUAGUAGAAGUUUGUUUAAUCCACUUGAGAUUUUUUCCUUUUUCCAAUAUCUGAUUAAAGUUUUGGAAUGUCAUUUAUGACUCUAUUAAUAAAUAAUAAUAUGUGCUUGUAACUUUGUGUUUCAGAAUUUUCUUUUCACUUCAAAGGAUGAGACCUCUACCUUGAAAGCCAUUGAUUUUGGCUUGUCCGAUUUUGUAAAGCCAGGUCUGUUUAAUGUAAUCUUGAUUGCGACCUUGUUUUUAGUUGUUUCAAAUAUUUAUUUGGUGAGAUAUUUACACAUAUACCUCCUUAAAAUAUCAUCUCUGUACUUAUAUGUAUCCUUUCAAAAUCUAAAUUUUUAUAUAUGCCCUUUGGAAACUUAAUUUUCUUUGACAUGUAUGCUUUAACUUACAGAAAUUCCCUUCUAAGCACCUUUUUUAAAACAAAGAUAACUUCUUCCCAUGAAUCCGUGACUACGAAAUGUGCAGAUGAAAGGUUAAAUGACAUCGUGGGAAGUGCAUAUUACGUCGCUCCUGAAGUUCUCCAUAGAUCUUAUGGAACCGAGGCGGACAUGUGGAGUAUUGGAGUAAUAGCAUAUAUUUUACUUUGUGGAAGUCGUCCUUUCUGGGCCCGCACGGAGUCGGGCAUAUUUCGAGCAGUCCUAAAGGCGGAACCGAGCUUCGAAGAAGCUCCGUGGCCUUCUCUCUCCGCCGAGGCUAAAGACUUUGUCAAGAGGCUUCUUAAUAAGGAUUACCGCAAGAGAAUGACUGCUUCGCAGGCUCUAAGUAUGUUCCUUGUUAUAUUGCUGUUGUUCAAUUCUUGUGUAGUUAAAAUUUGCUUUUCGUUAAAGCGUAAAUUCCAUUUUCUAAAUUUAGGUCAUCCUUGGAUUCGGAAUUCGCGAGAAGUGAAGAUUCCUUUGGACAUCAUAGUCUAUAGGAUGAUGAGAGCUUAUAUAUGUUCAUCUUCUCUAAGGAAAGCAGCUUUGCGGGUACAAUGAUUUUCCUUCUUCCUAUAAAUAUCUAAGUUAUUUAUCCCCCUGUAGCCCUGCUGGAUAAUUUAGUCCUCUUAUUUGUUCGUACUUACCAUAUUGUAUGUAAUGCAAUGAUUCUGUGCACUUUGUAGUAAGCUUGAUUCUCUUUUUAUCUUUUUUGUGAAUGUUAAGAUGCAGAAAAUGAUUCUCUUUUUAUCUUUUUUGUGAAUGUUAAGACGCAGAAAACUCGGCAUACAACAAAUCAACUGGAAUUUGGAUUGAUAGUUUUCAUUUUGCAGGCCCUUGCCAAAACUUUAACAGUGUCUCAGCUGUCAUAUUUGCGAGAUCAAUUUGGAUUACUGGGGCCGAACAAGAGUGGCUUUAUCUCUAUACAGAAUUUGAAGACGGUUAGUAAUUUCCUGCCAUCAUAUAUGCAUGUGUGCGAGAAAUGUAUAUUUAUUUGUGUGUUCACCUGAGUCAACCUCCGACAGGCUUUCUUGAAAAGCUCGACCGAGACGAUGAAGGAUUCAGGGGUUCUUGAUUUUGUUAACAUGGUAUGUCUCCGCAUCCUAGUACACAAUUGUUACUUCUUAAUCUGAUUGCUCUGAAACAAACUUUCCAAGAAGAUAAUUCGCUCCGAUGACGGUUUUGUAGGUGAGUUCUCUCCACUACAGAAGGUUAGAUUUCGAAGAAUUUGUCGCCUCGGCAAUUAGUGUUUAUCAGAUGGAAGCACUGGAAACGUGGGAGCAGCACGCCCAUCGUGCAUACGAAUUCUUCGACAGGGACGGCAAUCGGCCAAUUAUGAUCGAAGAACUCGCAUCGGUACGAUUCUCAUAAUUAAGUCAUUUUUCUAAGUCAUUUCUAUUUUCACAGUUGAACCCAUUGAUUACUUUAUGGGCUACGAAGAAAAUUAAUAAAAUUUCUAUGUUUUUUUUUUCCCCUUUCUUAGGAACUUGGUCUUAGCCCUUCAGUCCCUGUUCAUGUUGUUCUGAAAGACUGGAUAAAACAUUCCGACGGGAAACUUAGUCUCCUCGGAUUCAUUAAACUUCUACAUGGGGUUUCUUCGCGGUCGAUUCCCAAAGCCUAGCCAAUGAAAGCCUAAUCCUGUGAAUCCCGAAAUUAGCGCAGAUGAUAAGGUGGUGCAGAAACAAGAUCAUCAGCUUUUAUCACAAGACAAACAAGGUCAAUUUUCUGUUUCUUUUUUUUUGUCAGAUUUGUCACUUCUUUUCCCUAUCGAAUGGAUUGAUCACAGAGCGAAGUCGCUCAGAUGAAUGUAUAGAUUCAGGAUAGUAACUAGAAAAGUUAAAAAGUAAAUCCAUGCUAGGUUUAGUUGGUUCUCCUCCCUGUAGACUCUCAAAUCUCAUUACUCAAUUCUCAAUUAUGAGUAGGGAACUUAAAUUUUGGGGGUGAAAUAGUGUCUAGGGCCUUUUUUCUCAUCCUAUGAGGUAUCAAUGUAUGUAACGAUGAUUCUGCCCAGUAGCAUUAAUAACUUGUUGGGUCCAACCACUGGCCUAAGAUGCUUAAGGAAGAGUCCGUACUCCGUUAGUAGUAAUUCCUUUUCCAUCCGAUACAGGAUUAUUGAUGUGUCACCACCCAAGAGAAGCCUAAAAUGUUGUUAACACCAAAACAAACCACAAAAGCUUCAUCUAAAUGAAAACGUUGUCCAUUUUACUAUGAAGUUUAAACAAGUAGACACUAUUGAAGAUAAUGAAAACAUCGAAACAUCGUCCAGGGACACUAUUCAGCAUGCAUCAUGUGAUUGGUCACAUGCAUUGUACCUUCAAGUAUCAUGCUUAGUUAUUUUUGUUUCCUCUUUCAGUUUCUUUCUUCCGAGGGUCAGUUGGUUGAACGUAAUUGUAAAUGCAAUGUAGUUAGAGAUGCAUAUAGUUGAAAACACUGCAUGUACCCUUUUUGGUUGAAUAGAGUGAAUAUUUGGUUUCAUGUGGUUGAAUUUUGUAUUUACAAUUUUUUUUGCUUUUUAUAUGGAAUGGUGAGGUUGCUUUUAAUAUAUAAGGAAAAAUGUCUUCUCUUUAAAAGAUGAUUUAAGGUUGUAAGCUUAUUUUUUAUUUAAAAUUAUUCUCUUUAUUUGUUACAAUUGGAACUGUACCCAAUUUGGACGUAGUCUUAAUUUCUACUGUUGAGCCUCCUUAUGCUUUUCCAACUGCAGUGUUGGAUUUAAAUGGAUCAAAUUAAACACCAUAUCGGAAUUUGUAUGCAGUUAUAAUUACGGUACAGUUGCAACUACAUGUCCUAAGUAAAUUUCUGGUUACUGGGGAUCAUCAAAAAAAAAAAUUCCCUAAAUUAUUCUGUUCUCAGAUGCAGUAAGUGCUUUUUUCUUAAAACAUAUUUCUAUAUACAAAAUUAUACUUGGCCUGGUGACAACAGUAUUUUCUCUUAAGAUAAACCUUUUUGAAUUGGCCUUGUUUAGAUUCUGCAAUAGGAUAAGCUUGGUUCAGAAUAGUAUUAAAGUUGGAAAAUUAACUAGUUUUGAAUCCCUUUUCCCCUCUCUCUCUCUCUCUCUCUCUCUUGGAGAAAAUUGCCUCUGUAUCCUUGUACAAGUCCUAAAUUUUGUAUUUACCCUUUGUUUCAAAUAUAUUCCAGAAAAGUUUUUUUAUGUAUGUACCCCUGUUUUGAGGGUUUACUCAAAACAAUUAGGUGAGUUUAGAAGGAUAGGUUGAGAAUAGUAAAUUUGUACGGGAGAAGUCGGGAACUUUUUAAGAGUAUAUAAGUAAGGAACUAGUUUUGAAUCUUUGGCGAUAACUUGGGUAGUAUAUGAAAAUAUUUUUCUGUAAUUGCAAGUUGAGAGAUACUGCUUUCCAGCUAUUGUUAUGUAAUUAAAUCUUACAUGCACAGUAAUCUCUAUUCCAAAAAAAGUAAUAUAUAUGUUGAUCAUAUUAUUUGAUUAUUGAUACUGUUUUAUUUGUCGAUCAAUUGUGUGGAGAACAUCACCGAUCAUACCUAGCACAGCUUGUUAAGAAUUUGAUAUUUGAUAAUCAAAAUUUCAAGUUUGAAAUCAAGUUGCUUCACAUUUAUAGCUGAGUUCAAAAAAACUAAAUUCAAAGCGGGUAGCAUGCAGUGUCUUUCUCUCUCAAAAAAGAAAAAAAUAUGGAGAACAUCACCCAAAAAAAAAAACAAAUAACCACAAAAAUGUAUUAAAUUUGAAAAUAAAAUAAUAAAAAAAACCUGUUCUGAUGUUCUUCUAUUUGCUGAUAAAUAAAAUUGAUUAUUAAUAGAAAUAAAAUUUUAAGAAAAGGAAUUUUAAAAACUGGAGAUGCGGGGUAUCGAUCCCCGUACCUCUCGCAUGCUAAGCGAGCGCUCUACCAUCUGAGCUACAUCCCCUGCUGGAAAUUUCGUGCAGUAUAAUAUUUAUAUUAUUAAAAUGUAAGAAGUACGCAAUAAUUAUUAUUAAAUAAAUUAAAUAUAAUAUUAUUUUAUAUAUAAAUUGAGAGGUUCUCGAAAUCGAGAGAUCACGCGAGCGGAGGCUACCCCUCGUCCUCCUCCUCCUCUGCUUCACUCUCUCUCUCUCUCUCUCUCUCUCUCUCUCUCUCUCUCUCUCUCUCUCUCUCAUGGCGAUCCCUCGCAUGAAGAAGAGGCCUCGCCCUCUCCUCCUCCUCGCCCUCACCCUCGCCCUCGCCGCUGUGUCCCUCGUCCUCUUCGGGAUCCUCUUCUUCUCCGCCGCAUCCUCGCUCCCCACCCUCGGAUCCCUCCUCUUCUCCUCCCCCGCCCACUGGUCCGCGAGCGGCGGGGGCGGCGGCGGCGGCGGAGGAGGAUUGUACGGCCUCGAGCGGCGGUACCUGUACUGGGGCCACAGGAUCGAUUGCCCCGGCAAGCAUUGCGAGUCGUGCGCGGGGCUAGGGCAUCAGGAGUCGAGCCUCCGAUGCGCCCUCGAGGAGGCCCUCUUCCUUCAGAGGUCGGAUCUCUUCGAUAUCUUUAAUUCGUUUCUUCUUGUGAUUAAUGGUUUAGUAGUAGCUUUACAUUUACUUCGCUGUGUUCUACUGUAAUUAAAUAUCAUCAUUGGGUUUGGUUUGAGAUCUAGUUUUUCUCUAGGUUUAAUUUUUGUAGUUGGAAAUGUAUGGAGACCUUCUCAACUAUAGAUCAUUUUGAAAUAGGCCCCUCGAAGAUCCCAUCAAAUUUUAGUUAUUUUGAUUGGGGUGAUUCUCCUGAGUUUAAUUGGGGAUUUGUCGAAAUUAAUUGCUCUGUUGAAAAAAAAAAGCUUUUAAAACAGUCAAAUUUAAUUUAAUCACCCUUAAAUUUAAUAAAAAUCAAAUAUUGGUUGACGAAAAUAAUGCAGAUCAAAAUAUCAAAGUUAAGAGCAUCUCAAUUGAAAAAAAAAAAAGAAGAAAGAAAAUUGUUUAGUGGUCUAUUCCAACACUGCUUAUAGUUGAUGGGGUCCCUGUUAGUUGUCUUUGUAAGAAAUAUAGAACUUUUGGUCCAACAUGAUAUUUAUUGCUCCUUCCUUGAAUUUAGGUAAAAGCUUAUGGAAACCCCCUCAACUAUAGGCCAUUAUGAAAUGGUCCCCUCAACUUUAAUUUUUUGAUUGAGUAUGCUUGAACUUUUGAUUUGAUUCAAUUGUAUCAAAUAGAUUGGAAAUUUUAUCAGAUCCAUAGGUAUUUUUUCCGAAUUAAUGGCUUUUAGCAUAUAUAACUAGACCAACUAAAGAUUAAUAAUUAACAAAGUUAUUUAAGGGGUCUGUUUUAAAAUAACCUAUACUUGAGGGGGGUGUCCAUACAUUUUACCGAGAAUUUGUUACCUCUUGCUAGUAGUUAUUGUACUUUGGCCUGAUCGUAACCAAGCUUUGCUACGCUUUAACUAUCUCAAGUUUCCUUACAAGAACUAAUUGUGCACACAAUUCUAGUAUGAUCAGGAACUGAAUCUCGGUAAAGUUCUAAGAUUUGUUGUUUCUUUUCUAUGCAGAGUGUUCGUGAUGCCUUCUAGAAUGUGUAUUAGCUCGAUUCAUAACAAGAAGGGAAUCUUGCAUUCCCCUAGUGAUGCAAGUUCAGAGGAAAGGUAAGCUUAUCAAGUACCAGUCGCUAGCUGUUUUAAUUUUUAGUUGUCUGACAGUAUUUAGAGAUAAUAUAUCUGAGAAUUGACAAUUUUAUCAGUAGAUGUCUUACAGCAGCCUCUUGUUAUUUGGUGUGUUUUGAUCACUAAAUCUUUAUGUAUGAUGCAUAAUGUCAUAAUUUUAUUUCUAUCAUUCUUGUGCACUGUUAUUAGCUCAGUUUCUUGUGGACUGUUCAGGUUUUUCUAAUGUAUUGUGCAUUGUUUGAACCAAAUAUAUCAAGUAUGAUUAGUUGUUUCUCAUUUAUACUUCUGCUUUACAUUUGCUUGACCUGGAAAAUAUUUUUGACGUUAAUCAUUUUAAGAAUCUAAUUCUAGCUUAGAGGUAGUUUAUUGUUGUGAAUGGUAGUCAUAUCUUUUACUCUUUAUUCUUUGAUCUGUUUAUGUUGCAACUGUACCCUAAUUAUAGUAGCCAGAAGAGAUGUCAAAGCUAGAUGUUGGCAAUAUGUUUUCAAUUUGCAUUGUAGCAUUUUGACUUCUGUUAAGUGUUAAAAUUUAUGAUUCAAAUUUAAAUGCUUUACAGAUGGGAAGCUAGUUCUUGUGCGAUGGAUUCUUUGUGCGAUGGAUUAUUUGGUGUGUUUUGAUCACUAAAUCUUUAUGUAUGAUGCAUAAUGUCAUAAUUUUAUUUCUAUCAUUCUUGUGCACUGUUAUUAGCUCAGUUUCUUGUGGACUGUUCAGGUUUUUCUAAUGUAUUGUGCAUUGUUUGAACCAAAUAUAUCAAGUAUGAUUAGUUGUUUCUCAUUUAUACUUCUGCUUUACAUUUGCUUGACCUGGAAAAUAUUUUUGACGUUAAUCAUUUUAAGAAUCUAAUUCUAGCUUAGAGGUAGUUUAUUGUUGUGAAUGGUAGUCAUAUCUUUUACUCUUUAUUCUUUGAUCUGUUUAUGUUGCAACUGUACCCUAAUUAUAGUAGCCAGAAGAGAUGUCAAAGCUAGAUGUUGGCAAUAUGUUUUCAAUUUGCAUUGUAGCAUUUUGACUUCUGUUAAGUGUUAAAAUUUAUGAUUCAAAUUUAAAUGCUUUACAGAUGGGAAGCUAGUUCUUGUGCGAUGGAUUCUUUGUACGAUCUAAACCUCAUUUCAAAAGUAGUUCCAGUGAUUUUGGACAACUCCAAUCUGUGGCACCAAAUACUGUCAACAAGUAUGAAACUAGGAAAGAGGGGGGUGGCUCACGUGGAAGGAGUCAACAGAUCUGAUCUCAAAGAAAAUAGCAUGUACUCAAAUGUGCUUCUAAUAAAUCGCACUGCAAGUCCUCUGGCAUGGUAAAAUUUGUUAUUAUUAUUUCAUUAAGUAACCUUUUAUUCCUUCUUCUUGUCAGAUUUAAUAUCUGGGAUGCGUUUCUUUUACUCCUUUAAAUAUCAAAAUCGAUGAAAGAUGCACAAUUUUGCUAGGUGAAUGUUUGAAACAUCAAGCGCUAGUCUUGAUCAUGAUAACCAUCCAGGUUUAUGGAGUGCAAGGAUAGAACCAAUCACAGCUCUAUUUUGCUGUCGCACUCCCUUUUGCCAACCAUGGCAGCUGAAAGAUUGCAAAAUGUGGCAGAUAAAGUAUGUCUUCUUCAGCUUUUUCUUCUUCUUUUUCCCCUUUAAUUUCGUGCUAGGUGAGAGUGUGACUUUCUUUCUUGUCCUGGAAUAUAUGCAGCUUAUCCUUCCCGCUGUUGUCAAUUGUUACUUGUUUCUGAUUUGGAACUUUCGAUAACCCAGCUCUUCCUAUAUUCAUGAUAGACAGGAUGUACACUCAUGUCAUGAUAAACAAGAUAUACUCCCUUAGGACUACUUCUGUAAUCCGCAUCUUUCAAAUGUCAAACAACCUCUUUACAUUUUUAAGCCCUAUCAUCCAACUAGAGUUGUGUUUCAAUUGCUUUCUUGAGUAGUCAGUGCUGGGUGAUCUUGGUCGAUUUUAAUAGAUGAUUAUUUUCAGGCUAGGUCUCUCUUUCCAUGCACCUUUCCGUGAGUAGGGAUUUUAUUUGUUUCCCAUCGAAUUGGCACACAAAAAAUCAGCUAAAUAAUUUAACUUGUUAUCAGCAUUAAGCUGUUCCUGAUCUCAUCUAUUUGAGGAAAAGAUGUUUGUAUUAGCACUUGAGCCACAUCCGUAUAAUCCGAAUAAUUAAUUAGAGUGACUUGCUCAUAGUAUAAGACCUGUAACUUACCUGUUAGUUUGUUCAACAUAGACAUGUAGUAUUGGUAAUAACAUGCAACACAGUUACUCUUUAGGCACUUGAUUUGGCAUAUACGCCUAGUUUUUAAACAAAACCCAUGUUGAUAGCAAAGCCAACUUGUGGGCAUUGAUUAAGCUACUCCUACACUGCCUACGAACUGACUGAAUUAGACUUGUCUUAAAGUUAUGCGAAAUAGUUAAGAGGUUCGAGUGACCAUAACAUGCUGAGUGUUAUAGUUUAUAUUAUUUGCAUAUCUCUGUGUACAUGGUCCUCUUAUUAAAGCAAAAUGCUCUUUCUGUGUGCGGCCUUCAUUUAGCUUACAAAAAAGUAUAUUCGAUGCAGAUUAAAAAAUCACUUGGUGAUUAUGAUGCUAUUCAUGUGCGGCGAGGGGAUAGGUUGAAAACCAGGAAAGAUAGAUUUGGAGUUGACAGGAGCCGUCAUCCGCAUCUCGACAGAGACACCCGCCCUGAAUUUAUACACCGGAGGAUCGCAAAAUGGAUUCCGCCUGGACGUAGUCUAUUCAUUGCUUCAGAUGAGAGGACUCCCGGCUUCUUUUCGCCUCUAUCCGCCUGGUAUCCCCUAAUCCUUUUUAAUAAUAAUCUGAUCAGUUUAUUUUGGAAUUUACUUCUCAGACCCAUACAAGUCCAAGAUACAUGCGUGUAAGUCCCUUGUCUCUUUUGAUUUUAUGGACCAUUGAUCUUAAGGACUACUAAAUUAUGAUAAGCACUUUAUGUCUAUAAAGAGUUGGGCUUUUUUUUUUUUUAAUGCAUGUAUCCUAUUUUUACUUGUUUUUCUGUUUUAUUUUGUGCCUCAUUACCUCUUAUCGCUUAACCUAAAUAUUAUUUAUAUUUCUCAGCCAUGCAAUUCUUGUCCAACAUAUAUUCAUCUAUAAUGUUACUAUUUCAGCUAAGAAACUAAAUAUUCUUGUGAUUCCACUUGGUCAAUGAAAAUGCCUGGAUAUUGCUUUCAUGUGAUUAAUCAAAAAAUUACAAUAUUUUGUCACCUGCAAAAUUGAGAAAAAGUUUUACAUUCUUGAAACAAGUUUACCUACUAUUUGGACACAUUUAUUGUUCUUCAGGUACAAAUUAGCAUACUCAUCAAACUUCAGUAGCAUAUUGGACCCGGUAAUCGAAAACAACUAUCAACUUUUCAUGGUCGAAAGGUUAAUUAUGGGAGGCGCGAAAACUUUUGUGAAGACAUUUAAGGAAGACGAGAAUGACCUUUUCCUCACAGACGAUCCGAAGAAGAAUCCGAAGAAUUGGCAAAUGCCUGUUUAUACUGACGAAGAAGACGGAAGCUGAAAAAUGGAGAAAAUGCACAAAAGUGCGCACAGCUUGCCUACAUCUUAGUGAGCUUACAAAAUUCAAAUCAGUGAAUUCGACACCUUACUGAAAUAUCGUUUUUAAAUUGGAGGUGUUACUCAUUCUUUUUUUCCUGUUUUUUUGGGGGGGCGGCGAAGAAAGAAAAAAGAAAACAAAGAUUGGAACAGUUGUAUAUUCUGCAAUGCAUAUUUUUUGUGUUACAUGACAUGGAAGAGAUUGUAAACUGUGAUUAUCGUAUUCUUGAGUAAUAGUAGUCAAAAGACAAUUUUAAGACUCAAAUUUGAAUUCGAUUUUUCUUCAUAUACAAAUUUGAAUUCGGAUUCAGAUAUACAUGCAUUCAAGUAUAGACUCAAAGCUAGGCCUGUGAUCUUGAAACAUAAUAAAAAUUUAUAUCCAAAUAUUUAUAUUAAAUAAAGUAUAAUCUUUUCAAAUAUCCAUAUCACGAUCAGUCGCUGCCGUUCCUCCUGCUACUAAGGCCCAAUUUAUAAUUUACGAAAUAAUACUAUCAAAAUUUUAUUUAGUCAAAUAAUUCUAUUUCGUAAAGAAUUAAUUAGUCAAAUAAAAUUUUAUACAUUUUUUUUAUUCUAAUUUUUAUAGAGAUAUUAAGUAAAAAAAAAAACCUUUAAAUAUCGUCCCCGUGGUUUCACACUUUUUUAUUUUAGUAUCCUAUAAUUUAAAGUGUAUCAAUUUAGUAAACCGUGAUUUUAAUUUUCUCUUUUUAUUAUUUUUUGCACUAAUUUUUUUCGUUAAAUCGGUGUUAAAUCGGUGAUAUAGUUAAAACUAAAAAAUACUAAAAUGAGAAUAUUCGAUAAAUUUAGAUAGAAUAUCUGAAGUAUUUUUAUAUAUCAUUUAACGAAAUAUUAAUGAAGAAGCUGACGAAAAAAAAAAAAAAAAAGUACUAAAUUGUUAUUACACUUUAAACUAUACGUACUAAAAUAAAAAAUUACAAAAUAAUAGGAUGAUAUUUAAAAUUUACCCAAAAAAAACAAGGAAGAAAAAUCCUUUGGCCCGAAGGCAUUCCCCCGUCGCUUUCAGCCAGUGGCAUCUGCGUCGCGCAGGGCCGCUAAAUCGGUCGGCUGUCUUUACACGGGCACGGAUCCACUGGCGCCACGCGGCCCAAUGGGAAAUCAGAUUUAGAUGGAAUUUCUUCUCAGCCACACACACCGACACAUGAUACAUCACACAUACAUCCUCCCUCACCCACAAAACCAACCAUCUAUACAACUUCUCGGAGAAGCUCCUCCCCCCUCUUUCCCAAUUUCCUCCCCCCUUAUCCACAAGCGCUUCUCCUCAGUGUUUUUUUUUUUCUCCUUUUUUUUUUUCAAAAAAGAGAUCUUUCUUUUUGUUUAUUGAUCCCUCCAUCUCUUCUUCCACCACCAAAUUACAGUAAGAAUCCUUAAAUUCUUCUUCUUCUUCUUCUUCUUCUUCUUUUGAACUUUUUCUUCUUUUUUAGUUGUUUAAGGGUGCUUGCUUUUGAGGUUUAUUUGAUUUUUACCUGCUUUUCUUGGGUCGGUUUGGGAUUUUGGAUCUUGGAUUUUGGAUUAUGGAUGAUCGUGCUUUGUAAUUUUAGUUCUUCUUUGUGGGUUUUACUUUUCUUUUUCUCAUGUAAGUUAUAAGUGGAUCUGUGCCCUUUUUUCUUCACUUGAUUUCUUUUUUCCUUCUUAUUCGAGUCUUUUUCUGAAAAGAUUAAAUUACUACUAGUAUGAAUCUAUGCUUUCUAGCUUAGUUUUACUUUUGGAUCUUACUUUUUUUUAAAAAAAAAAGAAAUUUAACUUGAUUUUUCCUGAUAUGAUGAUCGAUGUUUAGAAUUUUGCUUAAAAAAAGGCCAUAUAUAUAUAAAUAUAAAUGAGAAAAACCAAUUGUUGUGGAUGCGAAAUUACCAUGUUUUUAUAGUUUUAUUAGCUUUGUAUUCCCCAUUUUUGCUUACUCUGCUAGAAAAAUGAAAGUGAAAAUUAUCAACUAACAGGUCUUGAUCAUGUGGAAUUUCUUCAGAUCCACAUGAAAAAAGAGAAAUUGCAAAAUUUUACUACCAUCGCGAGUGUUUCGAUUGCUUAUGUUGAGCAGAUUCGAUAAUCUGACAUGUUCUUAUUUACAGAUAAGCAGCAUGGAUUGGUAUUUCCUCGAAGAAAGCGACGAUUUUCUUGUCCCGAGUGAUCAAGAACCCUUUGGAGAUGUUCCUGCGUUUUCAGAUGACUGGCGUUCUUGGGCCGUCGCUCCGCCAAAAGUUUCUCAGCCGUGCGGGGAUGAUGCUCUUCUGCAGCACGGUCGAGGUUUAUAUGCUGACGAAAUGAAGCAGAGUGCAUUCAAAGAGGGAGAAAGAGGAUUCGGUGAUUCGACCGCACGGGGAGAGUCUACGCCGCUCGAUUGCUGUCCAAGAAGCUCGGAAGAAUCGUUCGAAUGUCAGACCAAGUGCGAGAUGCCGGACAACUUGGAGGAAAUGGAUAACAUUUUCUUGUGCAAGCAUAACUUCCGGGAUCCUUGGUAAAAUAUACAUAUAUAUAUAGUUUUAGCUCCUAUUGGAAAUAAAGUAGUUUGUUUUACAUAAAAAGUAGGGCUUAAAUUACAUAUCUGUAUGUUAUGUGUAAAUUAAAAUGUAGUGGAUCUUAAAUUAAGGUAUAAACAGUUAAAUAUGAUCAAGAACAUCUAAGAUGCAUGCUGAUAAAGUUCCACAAAUUUUGAAAAUCGAUUUCUUACACAUCGAGUGGUGUUAAGAUCAAUGACCCGGAAUUUACAAAAAAAGGGCUUUUUUUUAUAUAGGUCUUCAAAAAUUAUGAUUUUUUGUAAGUAGGUCUAUUUUAUGUUGUAAAUCACUUUCAAGCGGUUUAGAUCUUCAUUUUGAAACUUUUGUGAUUGGAUUUUAGCUUGUGUUAGUAGUGUGUAACUUAAAAGUGUGUAAUUGGGUCUCUACUCUAGAUAUAUUUAUCUUGCAACCUCAAAUUUUUAAAUAGGCCCUUUAGAAACUUAUUUUCGAGUAUAUAUUAACCAAUUCGUGACGAACUGGAUGACUUUCGAGUCUCAACUUAGAUAAACAUAUUUUUAUAGCUGCAAAUAGAUGAUUUUGCCGGGAUAUAUUAAUAAAAACCCCUAAGUAGUUUGUACUUCUUUGGAUUUUGAUGUCAUGGAUGCUUAUGCAGGAAUUCAUUUCUGGAAGUAGAUACACGGAACAUGGAAAACGCAUUUGAGCCAGUACAAAUGUUCCCCGACUCUAUGUACAGGUCGUUGUCGUUUGAGAAUAUAUUGGCGACUAUGCUCGCCGAUCCACAAAAUCAUUCGGCAAGUUUAAGUAGAAGUGAAAGUAUGAAUGAUCUUGAAGCCUGUGGAAUUCCUCUGUUCCCUAAUGACCUGUCGGAAGAUUUCGAGAAGACUGAUGACUGCUCAUCUUCAUGCGUGAAUAUGCCAGACGGGUCUGUAAUACUUCGUGCCGAGGUAAAAUCAUCUGUCGUUUCGUUAAUUGAUAAGGUCGUGUUGAUGCAUAUUUACCAAAAGAAUUGAUGAAAGAUUAGACAUUCUGUUCGAAUUCUCUUUAGCCAUUAAACUUGCCAUAUUUUAGGUUUUAUUUGCUCUAUGCUUCGAGUCCUUAGUUUUGAGGUUUGAAAUGUAGUAUCUUGGAUUUCGAGUUUCUGCUGAAUUGUUAAUGUACAGAAGAAAACUAAAUGCUAGUAUUCGAAUUUCGAUCACCUUUAAUCUGCUGUCUCAUAGCUGGUUUUCACACACAUUUUUGUUGAUAGUUUAUUAAUUCCUUAAUUAUUAUUUAACCUUACUUCCUUUGGAUGAGAAAUGUCCUUAUAUUCUUAUUAUUAUCAUGUUCCAGAGAGGCAUGACCUUGGGUGCUUCAUGUUUAGUGUAAUUUCACUCUCAGGAUUCGGAUCCCUACAUAUUCGUUCCGGCUGAAGUUAGACCAACAAGUGAGAGCAAAUUAGUUGCUGCUGAUGCAGAGAAGCCUAAAUGUUCGGAGGCGACAGUGCUGCGAGAGCUUGAAGAUGCAAUAUUGCUGGUAAAUUCAACAACGAAUCCUACGUCGUUUUCCCCUAAAUUCAUUUCGUGUUUCUGAAGUAUGCCAAUUGAACAGCUAAAUGAGGAGACGAGGAUUUGCUUCCGCGAUUCUUUGUACAGACUUGCUAGUAGUUCGAAAGACAAAAAACGCAAAAGAGAUGAAAGCAGAAUCACGGAGACGACUGUUGUCGCUUCGGCUCCAAAGAUGAAGGGUGUAAGUUCAAGGUAUGCCGCGAAAAUUUUCCUUGUUGCUAGUUCGGAGCUUCUGUAUCUGACAUUUUCCUAGUUGCUGGUUCAUGCUAAUAAGUAACAUAAUGUCUAAUCCUGUAUUAAUGGUAAUUCCUUCUCUUGUUUUUUGUAAUCCAUCGGAACUUUUGGCAUCGUUAUACCAUUCCGACAAAUGUAUCGACACAAUAAAGGCUUAAAUACAAAUAACCCCCCUUCAAUUUUCGCCGUGUAUAUAAAAUUGCAUCAAUUUUGAUCCUUAACUUUACAAAUGUCUGAAAUAGGCAGAAGGACAUUAUUAGUUGUGUGAAUCUGCAACUAGCUUAUCUUUACGAAAUAAAACAGGAGUUUUUCACAAACUUUGGUAAUUUAAAUCUGCAAGCCACCUACUCGCAUUUGCGCGCGUUUUCUUCUUCUUUAUCUUGCUUACUCAAGUCAUUAUUACUCAUUUCAGGGCAAAUAAAUCUGAGUGCACGGAAACGGAGACCAACAUAAUCGAUAGGACUGUCGCGAACCUCGUGUUCAAUCAGUCAUUUGCUGGCUCUUCAGACGCGAAAAAUCCUGUGCUGGCUUCGUAAGUGAAAGGAAAAUCAUUCGGCAGUUUCGGGCUCGUGCACCAAGUCAGAUCUUCCAUGACCAACUCUACUCUAUUGUAUGAGUGAUAAGUUGCACCAUGGAUCUUUUUGAGCAAGUAACAAGAAGCAAUGAGUAGGAACAAGUUAUUACUUUUUGUAACUUAUCUAAACUUUGGAUCAUUUUGAAUUGACUACGUAAACUUUCGAAAGGUUGAUUUUACUAUCCAACCUGUCAAUCUGUUUAAUUUCAGUCAGUCGACGAUGCUUCGACUUCAAAAUUUAAGUUUAUUAAAACAAGCAAUUAUCUCAAACUUUGAAAUCAAAGUAUCGUCGACUGACUUAAAGCAAACAAAUUGAAAAUUCGAAUAGUAAAAUUGAAGUUUUGAAAGGUGGGUAGUUGAGUCAAAAGGUUGUAAAUUUUUACCUUGUAUUGAUCCAUCUAGUUUGAGCAGACAUUUUUGUGCAGAUCUCGUGAUGUUAUUGUAUAUGUCAAAAGGAUGUGUAGUUGUAAAAAUAUGAGAUGCCACCAAAAUUGGAGAUUAUAAUUUUGGAUAAUGUUCUAUGAUGACCUCUCCUAAAUGCUUUGCUUAUACUCUGGACUGGAUGAUCUGUUCUUUUUGUUUUUCUUUAAUUUGUAGGCUAGAUUAUGAAGGGGUAAAUUGCACUAUUGGUUCUCAAACUACGUGGCGCAUGAUAUUUUGUUUCUCGAACUUUUAAUUUAUUACAAUUACAGCUGGCUUGAAUUUCUAAAAUGUGGUUGCGAUUAAGUCCUACAAUAUAAUUUAGUUGACUAAAUGGUAAUAUGCCGGUGAUGUAACUAUAACAUAAUAGUAUACAACACUGUCAUAUUAGCGACACAUUAUUUGUCAAUCAACUAAAUUAUAUUGUAGAAUUUAAUCACAAUAAUUUAAAAAGUUUAAACCAGUUAUAACAAUAAAUUAAAUUUUGAGGACCAAAUUAUUACCUACCUUACAAAUUGAGGACCAAAAGUGCAAUUUAGCCAUUGUAAACUUCAGUGCAAGCAGUUAAAAUAAGGGAAGAUUUUGGGUGAAGGCCCCUGAGUUAAUUAAUUAAUUAAUUUGUUAAGCCCAGUUUGAAUGUCGGAAUAAAUUAUGUGAUAAUAACUGAUUCGAUAUAUAAGAAUUUUCUAUUGAGAUUAAAAACUUGGUUUAGACAUUGUUUUAGUAACAUAAAGAAGAAAAAAAAAGAAUAAAAAAAUUCAAAUAAUUACAUUGAGAAGUAAAUAGAGAAAAUAAUAAUUAAUAAAAGGGCGAGAUUUUGGCAAGAUAAGUGUUGGGUUAGUGAUAUCAAAUUUACUUAUUAGCCUAAUUGGUUUUAUUUUGGAUUUGGUUCAACAACUCAUGUAAUGGGCUAGUUAGUAUUUGGUUUGGGCUUUAGUUGACCCAUUUGGUAUGUUAAGCCAAGUGGAGUUAAGAGAGAACUCUUUGGCUGCGUUUGGUUGGAGACUAGAUUUUGGAGAACAACUUUUGUUGUUCCCGAGAACAGUGGAUAUUCCGGUACAAGAUAGAACAAUUGUAAAUUUGUGUUUGGAUGAAUUCGAGAAUAUUCUAGAGGAUAUCCUUAAUAGCGUUCGGAUAAAAAGUCUAGAACAACGUCUAAAUAUAUUUUUAAAAAUAAAAUAAUUAAUUUAUAUUAGUAUAUUUUAUAUAAAAUUAUUUAUAAAAUUAUUUCAUAUAGUAAUUUAUAAUAUAAUAUUUUAUGUAAGAAUCUAAUUUAAAAUAAUAUAUUUUAUUUUAUUAUAUAUAAUAAUUUAUUUUAUGUAAUAAUUUAUUUUAUAUAAUUUAUUCAUAAUAUAUUAAUGAAUAAAGUAUAAUACUAACAAUAUCCCUAUAUUUUUAAUUAAUAAUUAGUAUAAAUUUCAAUACAAAUGGCGGAAUGACUGUUAUUUAUAGUACUGUAAAAUUGGUCUCAACGGUGAAACAACCAUCUAGAAACGGGCACGACGGCCUAUGACACUAUCGGUAUAUUCAGAAUAUUACGAUCUGUUAAUCUCCCCAUGCUAACAAACUCCAACUACCCACCUAAUUGGUUUUGGCCAAAUUACAAGGGGUUUGGUACAGUAACCUGGCUUUCCGCAACACUAACAAACAGUGACAUCCCUUGCAAAUCUUGAAUUUUUGAUUUGAAGAGCUUAUGCGGCUAAAACCUCUUUAAUUGCGUUUUGAAGAUGGCUCUUUCGGCGAAAGUGUUUACAUCUUGGUCCGUGGCAUGUGAAAGUCAUGGUAACUAUUCGUUAUCAUCAAGAGGACAGUGAUUAAGAGCAAGUUGAAUCUUCAUCCAAUAUGAAAAGCCAACUAGGGAACUCUUACUCCAGAAGCACAUCUAAUAAAUGCCAACUUCGCAACCAACCGCAAAAAGACCACAGACAACAUUAUUUCAAGUGCAAAAAUUCCAAGUACUUAGAUCCUGCUCAAACAAAUAUCUAGGUUUAGACUUUUGAUAAGUAACACAUUUUGACCUAAUUAUUGUACUAUAAUAAGAAUCAUCUGUCAUCUCUUUGAUAAGAAAUGCUAAAACUUGCCGAAGCAAAGGUAGGGGAGAUGAGAGGUCAUAGUAACUUCUGGAAUCAUUGCAGGCCUUCAGAAGAAACAAUUCCAGCAGGAUGCGAUACCUAGGUAUUAAUGGGCUAUACACUUAUAGAUUCCAAAAGCCUCUCGACUUUGUGCCAAAGAUUACCUAAAAGCGUGACAAAUUCAAGCGUUAAUGCAGCGUAUCAGAUCUAUUGUUCUCCAUCUCAUCUCGCCCUCAUCAAAUCAACAUAUGCCGAAUCCAUGAUCGCGCUUCUCGCGUGGUCAACUUUGAUUGUGCGACCCAUGAAUCUUCUACGCUGUUUUGGAAUGUCACGCUCAUGACCGUCUUUCCAAUACACGAGUACUCGGCCUCUCGACUGUUUCCAGUUGAACAGUGGUGAUAUCUCAUAACAUUAUAAGGCAGAGAUACUAUAUAUCGCCGAUACUGUACCCAAUACAAUGAGCUACUAAACGCUAUUCAAUGCUAGGCUGUUGUGUAUUGAGCCACUAUUAUAUAGAUCGAAUAUCAGAGACGUAAAAAAAACUCCAAAAGUGAGCCCCAUGUCAAGUAACAAUAACAAUUAGCAAAACAAAAAUUUUAGUUUAAGUAAACCUAGUUUAAGAAAUCUAUGUUCAUAUUUAUAGAUAAUAAAUGACUCUUCAAGGGAAAAGAUGUAAUCAAAUAUUGCACAACAGUCGUGGAGUCUGUUUCUGCAAUAUGCCUAUAAAUUACAGCUUACCAGCCGGAAUCAUGACAUUCUUGUGCCUCUAACCCAUGCAUCACUCUAUGGCCUAAUUGUUAGAUAGAUAGUAGAUUAUAAGGCAACCUGCAACUGAAGAAAGCAAGCAUCACCCCGAUUGCAAGCUGAAUUGCUCUCAUGUAUCUUAUUCACUAUAUUUGAUUCAUGGCAAUCGAUGUGCUUAUACAUUGCUUCAGUUUAUAUCUCAAAGGGACUUAUAUCACUGUGUAGGAUUUAUUAAAAACAUAUAAAAGUGACUGGUAUCAUAUCCUUUAUUCUGUCUAUACCNNNNNNNNNNNNNNNNNNNNNNNNNNNNNNNNNNNNNNNNNNNNNNNNNNNNNNNNNNNNNNNNNNNNNNNNNNNNNNNNNNNNNNNNNNNNNNNNNNNNNNNNNNNNNNNNNNNNNNNNNNNNNNNNNNNNNNNNNNNNNNNNNNNNNNNNNNNNNNNNNNNNNNNNNNNNNNNNNNNNNNNNNNNNNNNNNNNNNNNNNNNNNNNNNNNNNNNNNNNNNNNNNNNNNNNNNNNNNNNNNNNNNNNNNNNNNNNNNNNNNNNNNNNNNNNNNNNNNNNNNNNNNNNNNNNNNNNNNNNNNNNNNNNNNNNNNNNNNNAUACUUUGAUCAAUAGAGAACAUUGCAUAAAGUAUGACAGCAUCAUAGCUCAGCAUGUAUGAAUCGUCAUUUGAAUUGAACUGGCGGCAACAUUUGGCUAAUACCAUGCUUCCAAGCCACAAAACAUCUGAUUCCACCAUGCAUCAUAGGUAAUGGGAUGAUUUCAUCGGAAUCCAUAUUGGGACUGAAAAACACCAAUAACCGAGUAAAGGCAACAAAUUAAACCCAAAAAGGAACUAAAAAGCUCACCUCCAGGCUCCAAGUAUGCGGAUAAUAGAACGUUUUUAUAUCAUAGUCAAGUAGGGACUAGAGAUCCUCAAGGCCCAACUAUUAUCGAGAAGAUUUUGCAUCUCACAACAGAGACAUAUAUAGAACAUCAAAAAGGCCACUUACUUGUCUUAGGUGGAAGUAGAUAAAGAGUAGUAAUGGAGGGACUUGACAAGUCAAGCAAGCUUCAGAGAUGUAUUAACUUGCAGCCGAAAAAAUUGACUCAAUUAAUAACAAAUCUGCACAGGAAAUCGAGCAGUAUCCAUCCAUUCUUGAGAGGGAGAUGCAGAUGCACAUUAAACAACUCCAAUUAAUGUUGGUUUUGAAGAAGAGAAGAAGAUGAGGCCUCUCGAGGCGAGUCGACAACUCGAAGCAACACAAUCCAAGAAGGAUCUAACUUUCUACUUUGCAUCCGAGGGAAAUCACCUGAAUUUAUUGAAGAUCUGCACAAGGAACUGAAGAUCGGCUACCAAUUGAUGAGGUUGGGAGGUAGAUUGAAAUCGCUACCAAUUGAUGAGGUUGGGAGGCAGAUUGAAAUCAUUCCCACAUAGUUAAUGCUGGUUUUAAGCUCCAGAGGAAGGAUUAGGUUUAAUAUGGAGUUAAUAUGAAAGAGAAAAAACCGGCGGCGUUGAAAAGUGAAGAGAGCUGAGAAGAAGAGGAGUAGGUGAGAGGAUGGAGUUAAGAGGGAUUUGAGGAGGAAGAAGAAGGCUUCAGCAGGGGAAAGAGACGACAAUGGCAUAGAAUGGGUAGGUGAGUUGGUGGAGAGGAGAGUAAAGUUGCUCGGGUUUCGAGAAAAUUUAUUUUUUACUACAUCUACCCCUGCAAUUCUCGAGAUUUAAUCCUUAUUCGAGGGGUGAGGAUGAAUAAAAUUAACGGGUUAUUCCAUGAUAUUCUGGAAUAACCCGUUUUGACCGGGUUAAAAUAUUUAGAUGGAAUUCAAUUUUGUUUGGCAAAAUAAUUAGGAUAAAUCAGUUUAUUCCCCUGUUAUUCUGUUACCAAACGCAGCCUUAUUAUUGCUUCUUAUAUUACUAUUUUUUAAUUAUUUAUUCAUCCUAUCGUGUGAAUUACUGUACUAGAUAAAUAUUAAAUCGUAAACUUUUAAAUCCGAUAUAUGUCACCGUUUGGAUGGGGGAUAAGGGGAGGGACAACCCUUAUCCCCCUUUAUACCCAAAUAUAAUUUUUUUACUCGAGAAUAGUAAUUCUCGGGUAUCUGAAAUAAGCUGGUAUAACUAUUCCUACCAAUAUCUUUAUUUUUUAUAUAUACAUACCCACUAUUUUUUUUAUUUUAUAUUAUUUAUUUAAAUAUUAUUUUUUUUAUUUUUAAAAAUAGCUCAAUUUUUAUCCAAAAAUUAUUUUUUUUAUCUCCAUUCUUAUACCUAUCUCCGAAAAUAUAUAGUGCCAACGCGUCACUCACAUUCUUUGAAUGUGGAUAUAAAAGUGGGAAAACAAAAAAGCGUUAGAAUGGCAAAUUCCCGUAAUUUCAACCAAUCAGCGGGGUCAAAUGUCCCGCACGCAGCUCGAAAAGUAGAGGGCCGCGGUUCCCGUGCCUUUAUUCCCCGGAAGACGAGCAGAGACCCCUCUCUCUUUGUCCCUCUUGUCCUUUCCAUCGCUCCUUUCCUCUUCCUUUCCCACCACCACCACCACCACCGCCACUCCCCCCUCCCCACUCCCACACUACUAACAAAAAAAAAAAAAAAACAAACAAACACCUCUCUCUCUCUCUCUGCUACUAUACCACGCUUGCACUUGUGUACUUUUUAUCUCACUAGAAGAAGGAAGGAGAAAGGUGGGAGAUCGAGAUGGUGGAGGGGAAAGGGUCGACGCUGGUCCACGUCCUCGUCAUCGCCCUCAGCCUCACCGCCUUCGGCUUCGCCAUCGCCGCCGAGCGCCGCCGCAGCACGGUCAGUCUCAUUUCUCUCCCUCGCCCGAAAAAUCGAUCCAUCGAUCCGGUAGAAAACGGACAGUUCACCAAUAAUAAUCCUACAGUUAAGAUCAGGUGAAUCACAUCAAAUCAACCCCCACACUUUUGCGCAUUGCAUCCAUGUGUUUUCGUAUUUUCUCAUUUUAGUAUCCAUAGUUUUAUUUUUCUCUUUUUUCACCCUCCUGUUAACUUUUCGUUAAAUUAUUAUAUAAAAAAAGCUUCAGAUACACCAUUUAUAGUUUAUCGAAUAUUAUUUCCUUUAUUACUCUUUAGUUUUUACUUUGUUACUGAUUUAACAAAAAAAAAUUAAUAAAAAAAAAAAAUCCACAUGGUACGAAAGUGAUAAACUUUAAGUCACGAGGUACUAAUGUGAGAAAAUGCGAAACCAUGUGAGAAAAUGCGAAACCGAGUGGUAUUUAGGCUGCGUUUGGUUGGAGAACUAGAUUUUGGAGAACAAUUUUUGUUGUUCCCGAGAACAGGGGAUAUUCCGGUACAAGAUAGAAUAAUUGUAAAUUUGUGUUUGGAUGAAUUCGAGAAUAUUCUAGAGGAUAUCCUUAAUAGCGUUCGGAUAAAAAGUCUAGAACAACAUCUAAAUAUAUUUUUAAAAAUAAAAUAAUUAAUUUAUAUUAGUAUAUUUUAUAUAAAAUUAUUUCAUAUAGUAAUUUAUAAUAUAAUAUUUCAUGUAACAAUUUAAUUUAAAAUAUUAUAUUUACUUUAUUAUAUAUAAUAAUUUAUUUUAUGUAAUAAUUUAUUUUAUAUAAUAUAUUCAUAAUAUAUGUAAUGAAUAAAGUAUAACUUACAAUAUCCUUAUAAUUUAAUUAAUAAUAGUAUAAAUUUCAAUACAAAUUAAAAAAUAUAUAUGAUACAUGAAAAAAUACUUUUUUAUGUAUAGUACUUAAUAUAAAAUAAAAUAAUUAAAUAUUAAAAUAUAAAUAACAAAAUUUAAUAAAAUAAAUAAUAUAUCAAAUUUAAUUAAUUUUAUAUUAUAUAAUAAAAUUUAUGUGUAAAUAUAUUAUCAUUAAAAUAAUAUUUAUAUUAAUAUAUUUAUUUAUAUAUCUAUUUAUCUAAUAAAAUAAAUAGAAGAACUAAGUUGUUCUCAAUUCCCUAGGAACAAUUUUUAACGGGUUGUUCCAGAACAACGCAGAACAACCCGUUUUGACUGGAACAACCCGUUCUCCGCUGUUCCUCUACCGUUUGGUUAUAAUUUCGGGAAUAUCCCGUGCUGUCCCGAAAUAUUUCCGGUACCAAACGCAGCCAAAGGGUUAGAGGGAGUGAGUUCUCUUUUUGCUCUCUAGGUUUUCCCUUUUCUUGUAAUAGAGAAGAGAGGUGUAGAGAAAGUUGGAGAAGGAGCUCUCUUGUUCUUCUUGCUUGAUUCAAAAGCUUCCAAGGUAGAUUGGAAGAAUUCUAAGAGGUAUUCCGAAGCGGGACCCGCGGAAUCGGAAGGUGCUUCAAAGAAGGUGUAGCAAGAAGGGAUUUCUAUUGAAAGAUUGUAAGCCCAUUAAAAUAGAAUGGUAAUCUCUAACCAAAUCUUGUAAUCUCCUCAUUUGAUAGUGGAUUUGAUCUCUCCGUGCCCGUGGAUGUAGCCUGGUUUGGGUGACCACGUAAAUCUUGUGUUGUUGUUGUGGUUGUGCUUGGAUUUUUCUUUUUCAACUUCAUUUACUCCAAUCUUGCAUAUCUUAGUUGUGGAUAAUUUAGAUACAUCACAUUUGUUUACUAGUGUGAUUAGUAUCUUGAUAGUGAAGGUUCCGUCAUUAGCUCACUAC
rnacentral:lncRNA from 1 species